AAAAAGAGGGAAGGAAAUGGAGAGAGGGGAGAUUGCCGACCGGAGAGAGGUGUGAAUGACGGCCAGUUGCAGUGGAGAGGGAGGGAGAAGCAGAUGGUGGGUAUGGGAGAAAAAACAAAAGGAUAAUUUUGGAAAUUCACUAUUUGAGUGUAUGAAAGGGGUUAUUUCUUUUCUAUCUUACACUUAAAUUGAAAAGUCAAAAAAAAAUUUGGGAUUGGUUUAUGGUAACAUGAUUUUCCUUUUUUUAAUUUUUUUGUCUCCUUCACAGCUUACAAAGGGAAUCAUUUCACGUGGCCCUCCUCUAAAGUCUCACUCGCUCUGUAAUAAAUUCCAAGAAGAUUAGGGUUUCAUGGAAAUAUCUCAAGCGAAUCAGGCUCAGUGUGGCCGAUGCAGCAAACUCUCAAAUCUCUAUAUCCGGAGGUAUGGAAUCUCAAAACUCCUGUUUUUUGAGCUUUAGUUCUGGAUUAUGUCAUGUGAUGCUUAAGAUGGCUGUGAGAUUUGAACGACUUGUAACUCAAGGAGAUGAUGCAGAGUUGGGUAAGGCUGCUUUUCUGUUGGGAGGAGGGCAAGAUAACGAUACCGAACGUGAGUUAUGAUUGUUAAUUGGCUUAGGAGGUCUUGGGAAUAUAUGUUUUUUCCGUGCAUCUCUUUUUUCUUAGAUGAUGUAUGGAAUGAAAUUAGGGUUUAUAUUUCCUUCCAUCGUUAUUAGGUUAAAAGAAGGGCACAAGGAAGUAAAAUUAUAUUUUUUAAAGUUUUAAAAUGAUAAAAACGAACAAAAAAGUUUUUCUUUUAACGAAAUUUUUCUACUUUAAAAUUAAGUUACUAUAUCUUUUAGCAAAUGCGGGUAAUGACAGAUAAAAGAUUGUUUGUCUUAGAUGAUGUAUGGAAUAUAUUUCAUCCUAUCGGCACAAGGAAGUAAAAUUAAGAUAGAACAAUGAGUGAUAAAGUUAUCAGGAGAAGAAUGGAAGAUAGAUUUGUUUGAGUUAGGAACAUAAACAUGGAUUUGCUCGAAUUGUUUGUGAUAAUGAGAAGACAGUGAAAAUAUGAGAGUGAGGAUUAUUGGCUUGCUUCUCUAGAUUAAUGACCAGACUGGACUUGAUCUACGAACUAAACUCGUAUUCAAGCUGUUGCUACUCAAAGACUCGUGUCCUGGGGAACUUCAAUGCAAAGAUAAAAGGUGAUUGUGGGACUCAUGACCUGGGAGGCUUGAAUGCAAGAUAGAGAUGAUGCAAGAUAAAGAUAAUUGUGAGUAGUGUUGUUGGAAUGAAAAUUCAUUUGUAACAAAUCAUCUGUUUUGUGAUGUAAUGUUGUUAAAACAAUUUCAAUUUCCAUUCUCUUGUUGCAAUGACAAUUCCUUUGCAAUAACUAGCACUUUUCUUUGAAAUUCCGUCAGUUUUAACAUCCCAUUCACAUAUAUACAUACAUUCAUGCUUUUCUCGACCCUGGGGUUCUUUCAUAGCCAAUGCUUUAAAAUUUGUUUUAUUACAGAAUCCACUUUCUGGUAGAAGGAUAGAAUUUAAUCAUGAACAAGUGAAACGAGUUUGCUCACUAUUGCAGCAGGUGUUGUAAGAAAGAACCGAAAACAAGUUCUCUCUUUUCUAAUAUGGUAAUCAACUUUAAAAAAGGGAAAUAAGUAAAAAUCUUGAUAGCAAGAUGCUCAUAUUAACAAUGGCAGCCCACUGCAACUCAUAGUAUGAAAAAUAAGUCCCGCAAAACAUUAAUUUCUUUCUCCUAUUAUCAAACAAACAAAACAGCAGUCAUGAUUCAUGAAAGCCUGGUCUUACUGUUUUUGUACAAAAUGUAUCUGUGAUGCCGUCAACACCGAAGGACCAUGUCAUUUUACAUCUCCAGAAUGCAGGUAUCUCAAACUGCCACAUUUUGUUGCUUGACUAAGGAAGUGGCAUCUCAAACUACCUAUCCUUUGUUCGUUCACAACGUUCGAGCAACCUUUUCGUACAAAUCACGAGGCCAGUUCCUAUUCAAAUUGUUUGCGAGAAAAUUGGCAAUCUGCAAAGGUCAGAAGGAUGCAUCCAUCAAAAACCGAGAAAAACACCGUGUUAAGAAGCAUGCUACAUUUUGUUGUUGCACCAUGCCUAGGUUACCUUGAUUUUCACCCAAUCAACCUUGGUCAGAUCCCAAACACAUCAUCCAUCAAUUACUCACUAACUAGACUUGUUACUAGGCUACAGAUUUACUUGAGAAAACCAUCAAAAUCCCAUGGACCAAAUUGAGGAAACCCUCGUAUAGCAAGAAAAGAAGAGACUAGACAUACAUGGAUGGUUCUAUCAACUCAGGGUAUCAGCAUGAAACUGACCACAACCCACAAAUAUUUGCUAAAAGAUCAUUUUCAAAAUUUCACAUUACCAAGAAAAUUAUUUAAAGAGCCACUAAUCCAUGAAUGUGAGAUCAAAUCCAAAGGCUUAACCAACUUAUUGAAACAGGACAUCUAUAAACAAUAAAUAAACUACCUAAAAGGGCAACAUGAAUGGAAUUACCUGGGGCAAUCACAAACUCUGCUAUGUGCCUGUAAAACUAAAGGUGCUAUUGCUUUAUAAAUUUAUUUUAUUUUUAAUUAAGUCUUAAACCUUUUAGAUAAAGCAAGCUCAAUCCAGCAGAAUUAUGGUCGGUUUCACGCAAGGCAUAAAAAAUGUAAACCAACAGUCACCAGGGUUAGUAUGAAACUAACUAUAUCACAUUCAAUCUCAAGGCAUACACAAAUUAGUUUACAUAAAUACACCAAAAAUUUGCAUUUCAAAUAACACACCCUACCAAUGCUACCAAUGCCAAGAAAUUCUAAAGGGCUUUCAGGAGGAAGGGCAUAUAAUUUGGAUAUUUAAAAUAUGAGGAAUAUCAAAAUUCAGUAUUUUUUUUAACAUACCUUAGUCCUCAAGGCCCGAAGUGAUCCAUCAGUAUCCGUCACAUAGUCCAGACAACUGAGAGCAAUCUUCAGAAGGUCAGGCACACAAGCUUGGACAUGGGGAGAUAAAUUCUGAAACACAUCAGGUGUGGUAUCUGGCGCUCGUGGAUCAAGUGGAAGAAAUGGAAGUUUAGCAACCUCCCUCAGGGCAUCUAGAUAAUGGCCCACUCUCGCCAACUUAUGGAUAGACAAUAUUGCCUCAAGCUCUCUUAGUACAGUCUGUUGCUCCAUAACAUGUUCCCUCUCUUGAAGACUGCACAUUGAGUUCAAGUGAUUAUAAGUAUAUAAUAAAGUAGCUCGUGCCCACGAUGGGCGGGCUCCCUUUACUCAUCAAAAAAAAUAAGUUUAUAAUAACGUACUGAGACAAGUUAUGAAAUUUAAACCUUGAUAUCCAUAAAAAAAGAAAGCCGACAUCCAAGUUAGUGCUUAAUCAAAGGAUGAUAUGGUUCAGAAUCCUCUGAAAAAUUCAUAUUUCUAAAAAAUAACCGUGUUAACUAUGUCAUUCUCAAUUCACUUAGAAAUUAUUUCACCACAUGAAAGCAUUGCAAACUCAAACUAGCAGUCAUAAUAUGAUGGAGUAGUCAGGAAGCCAACAAUAACAAUAAAACUAACCAGCAUAAGAACAAUAGUUCUUAUUUUAAAAAAUGAACAUGACAUACACUCAAGAAAUUCAGUCCAAGAAUUUUUUUUCAAAAUUCUCACCAGUGAGAAUGAAUUUGAGCCAAGGGAACAGAUAAACAGAAUCCUGUGGUGUUCAUAAUUCUCUGGAGAACUUCGAAAUGAAUAUGAUAUACACUCAAUAGAUUCAGGACAUUCAUGAAUACAUAAAAGCAUGUGACAAACUGAGUUAUGCAUGUGCUCAAUAGAACACUCGUAUGUAAUCUGCACUUCAACAAGUCGGAGAAUUUUGUCAGUCUACAUAAAAUAUGGGAGUACUAGCAUUUUGCUGGAAUUCACACUUGCUUCACACGAUAGACUUUUAUGGUACACCUCUCAGUUUUUAAGAUCCUCUUUUCACACAACAGUUUAUAUUUUGGGCUGAACCUUUGGAAAGACAUUAGAAAAGGGUGGGAAAAGUUCAUUCUUAGAACUAGUAUCCGUAUUGGAAAUGGUAGACACACAAGUUUUUUGGUGGGAUAAUUGGGUUGGGGAUUCUAAGUUGAAGGAUGUUUUUCCUUCUCUAUUCAGGAUUGCAGCCCACAAAUUUGCUAUAGUGGCAGACCUUUGGGGGAGGCAAGGGGGUGGAGGCGGUUGUUGGGAGGUGGAUUUUAGAAGAUCUUUCCAAGAUUGGAAAUUAGAGGAGGCGACUCGUUUUUUAGAACAUAUUUCUGUGCAAAAAGUUGAAGAAGGGGAGGAUUCUUUGGCUUGGAAGAAUGAUGGAAGGGGAAAGUUUAGUGUCAAAUCAUAUUAUUAGUCGUUACGGGAUGAAAGCAAUAUUUUAUUCCCUGCCAAUGAGAUCUGGGAUUCGUGUGCUCCUCUUAGAAGUUGUUUUUUUGUUUGGAAAGCAGUUUGGGGAAAAAUCUUAACAGUAGACACAUUAAUGAAGAGGGGAUGGUCCAUGGUCAAUAGGUGCAGCAGCCUUUGUAAAGAUAGUGAAUAAUCAGCUAACCACAUUUUGAUUCAUUGCGACAAGACAAGAAUGUUUUGGAUUGUGUUGUUAACUUCUUUCAAACUGGUAUGGGUGUUCCUGGAUUCAGUGAGAAAUCUUCUUCUAAAAUGGAAAGUUAAGGGGCUGAGGAAGAAGAAAAGAGUAGUGUGGAGACUGGCUUCGAUGUGUCUUUUUUGGUAUAUUUGGGGAGAAUGAAAUCGAAGGACUUUUCAGGAGUAAAAGAUGUCUGACCAAAGUCUGACAAAGCUCUUUACCCGUUCACUAUUAGAGUGGUCUCAGUAGGUUCUAGCAUUAGACAAUCCCUCUUUUUUUGAAAUUUUGGGUGUCCUUAAUGGAGACUAGACCUCCUAUUGUAGGUCUUGUUUCUCCUUUCUAGAGCCUGGUUGGGUUUUGUUUGUAUACUGCCUGUAUACAUGGAGUGCACCCCUGUUUUUGGCUGUUUAUUGUUCAAUUUGCCUUUGUCUAUCAGAAAAAAAAAAGGUUUUAAUAUGCAUCAUAAAUUUGGUAGAAGCAAAAUUGGCACCAAAUAAUUUAAUGAAAUGGUGAAGUAUAGAAUUGACCUGACUUCAGGAAAAUAUUUGUAUGUCUCCAGGAUCUCAUUGCCAGACUGAAUUAGCCCAGCAGUUCGGCUCUCACCAUCCAAUCUACCACGAGCCAAAGCACAAACUGCUUCAGAGAGGCACUUAUUAAUUGUAUCCAACGCCAUUGAAAAUGCCCCAAUUCUCUUCUGAAUUUCUAUAGACUGUAAUUUAGUGGUAAAAUUAAGAGGUGAAUUCAUCAGACUAGACACAAAAUAAUGAACAAGAUGACAAAGAAUAGUUGAAGCAAAGAUGAAUGUUUAUAAGAUGCAAACUUGGAAAAUAAAACCAUUUCGUAAAACCCUAAAUCUCUGCCUUGCUCCCGCUCAACCAAAUAAAUAAUGAAGACAAAAAGAAAGAAAUAAUGUUGGGGAUAGGGGAGAAGAAAGAAACAAACCCGCUGAAUGUUUGACUUUCAAGCUAAUAGUGGAAUCCCAAAGAAGAAAUAGCCAAGGUUUUUUGAACGAGAGUCGGAUCAACAAAUGAGGCAUUAUAAAAAGUGAUGAUAAAAUAAGCCAUAAAAUUCAUGUAGCACAAUAUAUCCCUUAAUUAAUAGAUAAUCCAGUAUAAAACAUCUCAAACAUCACAAUCAAGCAAGCUAUGUAGGAUGUGAUUUUACACGGAUCAACAAACUGGGAAUGCCAAAAGUUUAAAAUAGAGUAACCAGCCAAGGAGAAUCUUGAAAUUUUGAAAGAACUUUUUUCCUUUAUGAUUCCCAGGUGUUAUGUAAUUAUAAUUCUAAUUAUAAUACUCAUAAUUGUUUACGAGUAUAAUUAUCUUCAUUACUCUUACCAUUUUUCUAAAUUGGAACAAGACAAUGCAAUCAUUCUACUCAUCCCUAUCGGCAACAUGCCAAAUAGCACAACUUGGGCAUGGUGAAGCUCAUACAAGUUCCCACUGUACUUGUAUAGAACUCUGGAAAAAAGUAAAAAGUUAAAAAAUGGAGGAGCAGAAGAAGUAUUACUUGAUCAUACAGCCCAGCAUCCUGACACUGGCGAGAAGCUUCAAGCAGAAAUUGCUGUCUUGCUUUUACAUCAGUCAGAAAACGAGCCAGUUCACCUUCUUCUCCAGCACCUCUCGGACCAAGUAAAAGAUAAAUCCCACCAUCCCUUAAUAACAGUUCAGUGAGGAGUUGCUUCAGCAUCAGAUUUCUCUGCCAUUGCUGAUCUAUAUUGCCCCUUCCAGUCCAUGACAACUGUCCACCUCCCACUGCAGCAGCAGCUUGUGCAUAAUAUUCUAAUGCUGUUGAAAGAUCACCAGCACGUAAAUACACUGAUCCGUACUGCCGGAUUAUGCUAGAUGCCUCUGCAAAAGCAUCCAUCACCCCCAAUUUCUGUCCUACCCCAGCACCUUCUGAAAGGACCCCAUGGUCUGCUAGAACAAUUGAUAUAUGGGUAGCAUCAACAUUAUACCCUUCAACUCCCAUUUCCUUAGACAAGUAUAGGACUGCUGGUAGCAACUGGAUACUUAGAAGUAAAACAUAUGGAUAUACCAGAGGGUCCUUUCCAUUUUUUGUAUAAUAUGAUGGCUCAAAUUUAUUUAGGUAAUUCUGCAAAUCAUCCAAACUGUAUGGUACCAAGCCCUCAUUCAGGACAACAGAUGAGGAUCCACCUGGACAGUCCCGCACAGCUGACAAUUUGAACCACAAGAAAUCCUCUAUGGUAUUGAAAAGAGUUGGAAGAUCUCUGAGCAAGCGAUCAAUAUGCCUGCGAGAACCAGAUAUGAUAGCAUAAAGCAGCAACCUUUUUUUGUCAUAUGCUGCACGACCCACACGAUCGCCCAUUCUUAACAUUUUAUCGCAUUCCUCUGAAGCAACUGCUGCAAUCUCUGCUGAUACCAUACCUCUUGUAGUAAUCCAUUCUGUGAGCUGUCAAGAAGGGCAAAAAUGACUAAGAUCAAAUAAAGACUCCCAUGUAUAAAGUACAACCAAUAAAUAAUCAAUACCUGAGAAGCAAACUGAUUUGAAACACGAGAUGAUCUGGCAACCUCUAUUGCUUCCUCGUAAUACCCAGUCCUCAAGCAAAAAUAAAUCUGUUGUUUCAAAGUAGAAAUAGGAGUCAGAUGGAAUGGGCACUAUUUCCAAAAACAUAAUUAGAUAUUGAAGGCUACAAGUAGAUUUAAUAUGUGAACAACAUAAUAAAUAAAAGAAAUAAAUUAAGUGAUUUUUCCAUUCUAUAUGAACUUGUGAUUUCAAAUGGCAUUCAUCUUGCUUGCUUACAAUCAUUUGCAUGAAAAGCAACUGAAAGGUAUUCUAAUUCUCUUCCAUACUUCCUCUAGUCAUUAUUACAAAACCCUAAGAAACAAAAGAAAACAAAGAGAGAGAGAGAGUGGACUCGUAAAAAAGUGUACCAGGCCCACACAAAAGCAGAUAAAGAAAAAAGACCAACUUAAUCAACCAUACACAUGCCCUAAAUUAAUAAUCCAGUCCCCCCAUUAAUUCAGGAUAUCCACAAAAAUUUGAAGUUACAGUUUCUAUAAAGAGUAUAGAUUCACCCAGCUCACCCAUUUGACACACAAUGGGUGUAGGAGUGGUGACCUUAUUAGAUACUCCCUACUUUGAUUCAGAUAUGGCUGUUUGAUUUUGAUUGAUUUUUUUUUUCCUACCUGUUUAACUGAUAAUUACCUUAGAAAGGGUAAAAAAUUGCUGGAAAAUAAAUUUCCAAAAAAAUAUUUAAGGAUAAGAAAGAAAAGACGGAUAAAAUAGAAAAGACAGGAGUUCUUAUCAAUUAUAUUUUUGCUUUUGAUUGAUCACUAAUUAAAUUUUUCUUUCUUUUUUUUUCCCCUUCUAUUAUGCCACAUCCAAAUGUUCACCCAUUAUUGAGAUCCUAUAUUCAAGUCGUGGGUGUGAAGAACUAGACAUCUAGACACAUACUUGUACCUGAAACCGGGACUCAAACCCGUACAACAUAACUCAAACAUGGUACAACUUUUAGAGAUUAUGCAAAUUUUCUCAAUUGAAGCUUUCAGAUACCACAUUGAUUUAAACUUGUCAGCUAACAUGGAAUCUGAGGGUACAACAUAAUUUGAGCAAUCAAAGCAAGAGAAUAUAAGAUGAAGUAGCAUGUUAACUAGCUAAAUCACCAAGGACAGGAUUGAUGAAUCAUCAUUUCUUGCAUGUGCACAUCAAAAUCAAAGGCUUCCAGAUACAACAUUGAUUUCAACUUGUGAGCUACCAUGUAAUCUGAGACUAUGACAUAAUUUGAGGAACCACAGAAAAGGAAAAUACGAUGAAUCAGCAUGUUAACUAGCUACAUCACCAAGGACAGGAUUGACCAAUCAUCAUAUCUUGCAUGUGUACAUUAAAAUCAAAGGCUUCCAUGAAGGAAAAUGCUGGGUAAAAGGUACAGAAUCAGGAUAGAAGGGCACAAAACCUGCUGCCAAGUGGUAUCAACAGGAGGUUGUCUACGAGCAUCACCUGCAUCAAAAUCUAGAACCCCAUAGUCUCUCAAACGAAUCUGCCAUGGGAGAAAUAGAAAAAAAAACUAGUAAUUAUGGGUAAAUAGGCAUCCAGACUCCCCAACAUCAAAACCAUUAACAACUGAAUAUAGAAAUAUUAUGACAAACCCGAAGAAAGGCAUGGAUUCUUUGCAGAUUUCCAACAACCCCACCAAGAGCAGCCUACACUUGGAUCAAAAGGAUGAUCAGGGGAAAAAAAAAACCACAUCAGGUAACUAAGAGCUGCUCCACAGAAGCAAAAAUGCUAAGGUUCUUCAAUCAUUAUGAAAAAAAUAAUUCAAAUGAGCAAGGAAGUAUACUAAGAGUUAGCUGAACAAACAGAGAAGCGAUAAUUGAUCAAAACAUUAGUGCUCAUGGAAGUAUAUGACACCAUCAACCAGCACUAAGAUUAUGAUAAACAACUUUAUUACCUGUGCAGGAUGACUUUGUAUCGUAUCUAUCAUAUAUUUCUCAUGUCCCCAUUCGAGGUGGCGCCUAGCACCAAUUACUAAUGACAUUUUUUUUGAAACAUUCCAUUGAGCAGCUGUAUCCUCACCCAUUAAUGUCUGUCAAAUAAUUGAACCAUUAACCACUUGCCAGAAAAUAAUGAAAGAUAACCUGAGCUUAUAAUUGGAAAGCAUACCUGAAUCAGGUGCCAAAUCUUCUGCAUGUUAACAGAUUUGCCACCAGAUGUCUCAAGGCCCAAACUAUCAUAAGCACCCUUGAAAGCUGUAGCAGGCUAAUAAGAAGGAAUACAUUUUAAAAAAGAAGUCAAAAAGUAAAAUAGUAAACCAGAGAAAUAACUUAAUCCAAGUGCACAACCACCAAGAUGAGAUCAUUGCUUGAUAUAUCGUAACAUUCAUAUCCUAACCAGAGGCUUGAUUGUAUAAUUACUAUAGAGAGAAGAAAAGAACUUUAGAAUAACACGUAACGAAGCAUACCUUAAAUGGUAAGCCACGCUCUCUUGCACUGUUGAGAUUCUUCACAACCUCAGCAUAAACAGAAGUUUUUUUCUCGAGGACAGGCUUGUUAGCUAGAGGUACAAGCUCCAUACUAGACAGACCAGAUGAAACCUGAGGACUGGAAAUCAUGGAUGCAAUUUGACCUGGACGAGUAGCCCCAGUGCUUGAAUCACUAAUAUUAGUCUUGGGCAAUGUUGAUAUGCGGCUCAAGCUUUGAAGGAAAUCCCUUUUUUCCUUUUGCCAAUCCUCCUGUCAAAUAUUGAAUUCCACACUGAAGUCAGGGCUAAAAGCAACAAGGGCAAAAAAAAUAUUUCCUUGGACUUCAUUAAACUGUUUGUACUUCUUGUCAACACAACAGAAGAUUGUGUGCAUGAAAGAAAGAAAGAAGGAUUGAAAAACAUCACAUGAACCCAUAAUAGUGCACUGACCUCCAUAACUUUCAUCAUGUAAUCAUUAAAACUUUUAAGGUUAUCUUUCUGUGCUUCCUGGAUAGCGGAAACUAUUGCCAUCUCAUGAACCUGAGGUGCAAAUAUAGCAAAACAAUAUGAUCAAGCUGCAAAUGCCAAUCAUUCUUAAGGCAUGUGUUUGAAAAACCUAAACAUUGUAACUUGUAAGAUAGUUCAAAGACAGUAAUACCAUGCAACCAAAUAUGAAAAUUUUGUACAAAAUACAGCCAUGUCACUCAGACAGCAUAGUUAAACAGACACAUGAUAUAAGAGAUCAUCCAUGAAACUUUAAUUGCCAACAAAAAAAUUACUCAUAAUUGACAGGGGGAAGAAGACAGGAAACACUUUAGUGCUGUCAAGGUCUGAACUCAUGUGCUAAAAAGACAGGUGUGUAGACAUAACUCUUUCUUAGGGAGAGGAAAAAGAGAGAGAUAGAAAGAGAGAAAAGAAGAAACUCAUGCUAUGACUUUGUCAGUGGUGAAUCUGGUCAUGUCUCUCGCCCUUAAUUUUUUCUUCUACCCUUUCAAAAGGAAAGUUAGAAUCCAUAUUCCCCCAUUGUGUUUAUAUGCCUUAUUCAGGGAUUUUGAAGAGAUUCUCCAAGCCUAAAAAUAAUGCAUGUCCUAUCAAAAAAAAAAAUAAUGCAUGCAUGGACAGUGUUUUAAACUCUUAGCUACAAAUUGAGCUUCAGUCACUUUGGAAGCGUCAAUAAUUUUUUUUACAAAACUUUUGAAGAAAUUCUCCAAGCCUAAAAAUAAUGCAUACAUGGACAGGGUUUUAAACUCUUAACUACAAAUUGAACUUCAGCCACUUUGGAAGUGUCGAUAAUUUUUUUAACAUUUAUAUAAGUACUUCAUCUGAAAAGGUAGUAGCCAAGCCACAAAAUCAAGAUUUAGUUUUUCUCUUUUGUAUUAUUACUGCUCGUGAAUAGUAACAGAAAUGUCAGGCAGCAAGAUUGACUACUGACUAAUAUAUGGCCAUUGCUUGUGGCUCAUGACAAAUGUCAUUGGCUCAGGGGAAACAACCAAACUUCAACAUCUCUCCACCCUUCCAAACAAAGAAAAUAAAGACAGAAAAAGAGAUGUCAUAGAAAAUUAUAAUAAACUCUCAAAUUUUUCUUCACUUCAAAACUUGUGUGCUCUAAUAUUAAAAUGAAAAUGAUUUUUUAAUGAGCAUUAAGUUGUUAAGGAUGAUUCUACAAGUGUGGUUCUUUAUUCUAUAGAUUACACGCAUGAAUUUAACCACUGAAAUCACUCCUUUUCUUUGAUGUCAUAAACAAGAAAUAACAUGUUACUAUAAAACUGACAAAGGGUAUCAAUUAUGCCACACCAUUAGAUGCCAAUAAACACAUAUGCCGAUCGAAGCAAUCUAAAAUUAAUAAAAAUAGAAACUAAUGAUAAUAAGAAUCAAGACAUUGAUAUUUGUAAUUUGUAUUGCCACUAAACAAUUAAAGCAGUGAAUUCUACCUGCUGCAGGUAUUCCUCGACACUUGUUGCCUCAGCAGGGAAAACAUCCUCAAAUGUUGUCUUCAAGAAGGAGAAAAAAAUAAAUAAGCAAAAGUAUAUUUGAAAAGAAAUUGGAACAGAGACUAGAAAAAGGUAAAAAUAAAAAAGUAAUAAUAAUAAUAAUAAUCAAGAAAAAGAAAAAUUUAGAGAAAUUUGAUAGCGAAGAGCUACAUGGCUAGCCAAUAAAUUAAAUGAAAAUCAUAAUACAAAUUAGACAAUGAGAAAAAGGACCUAUGGAUAAAAAGAUCACAAGCAUUUAAAUUAAGUUUAUCUAAUAAAAUGUAUGGAUAUUUCCAAAUUAAAUCUUUACAAUAAAAUAUAUGGAGAUUUCCAACUGCAUUUUAUUAUCUUUACCAAUCAGUUUGCUCUUUGAUCGAAAUAUAAUGUCUAAGCAUGACAUAUAUUCCAUGCUUUUUUUCUGAUAGGUCAAAAAUAAAAAAAUGCAGGGACCAUCUGUCAUUCCUUAACAUGGUUAAGGACAUGGUGUUCUCAGCCUUUGAUUAUUAAAGGAAGGAGUAAUCAGGAAUCAAGCUAAUUAGUGGAAAGAGGAUAGCUUCAGUACUCUCUCUCUCUACCACUUCCAUCUUAAGUUCCUACCUCGAGGUAUAGAAGCCUUCUACUCAACUCCUUCCUAAUGAUUAGGAGAUAUUGGAGAGAAGAUAGAUAUCUCAUUUUUCUCUUUAUUUUUUUCUUUUCCUUUUCUUUUUCUUCUUUUAUUUUAUUUUAUUUUUUUUGGAAAUUUGUUAGAAAAGAAAGCAAAAAGGGAGUCAAGCACACAUGUGGUAUAAGGACAGUAAGCCUUAACAAAGUUACAGGAGGCAAAUCAAAGCCAUUGGGAUAGUCCCUAUCUCCAAUAGGGAACUCCACAAAUACAAUGACUACAUGAGAAAUUUUUCAGCUCCAAAGGAAAGAGUUCUCACAAGAAGAAAAUCCUUUUAUUCUGCACUUUUACACGCCAAUCUCCAACAAAACCCAUCUUGACCCAAACAAGGAAAUUAUGGAGAAAAGACUCUAGGCCCCAACUCCAAUAACACCCAUCCAUGAAAACAUUCAAGGAGAAUAUAGAAACUUCUGCUUUUUCCAACCAUCUUAUGCCCUGUUUCCAAAAAAAAAAACAGACUUUAUUCCAGAAACCAUCUUGCCCUACACCAUUUUGUCAGAGCCAGUUGAAUGGGAGAUCCUUGUCAAAAUUAAACAUUCAGUUCGUGAAAACCCCUCCCUCCUACCUAGAAGAGUAGAAUUUCUUUCAUUUCUCUACAUGGUAUAUAAUAUUCUAUCCUGCUUGUAAUUUUCUAUUUUUGAUGAUUCACAUAAAUUGAACUAAUCAAAUUCAAUAUUUUGGUUCUAUCUUGGAGCAUAUAUUUGUUAUAAACACCAAAUUCUAGUUGUGAGAACUAAUAAGGGCUAUGAAUUGACACACUUGAGCAUACACAAAAGGAAAGAGAAGAGCAAUAGCUUGAGGGUUUGUUUAGAAACUGUUCUUAAAAAUAUUGCCAAACAUACCCUGAAAUAUUUUUUUCCAUGUGGGCAAUAGUUAUUAGUCCAAAACAUAACAUCAGGUAGAAAAAAUAUGUAAAACUCCAUAGAGCAUGGAUAUACAUUUUAUAAGAACUUUUGCAUACAAAGCAACUCGUGAACCAUGUGAAACGAUUAAGAAUUCUGCAGUCAAUCAAGCAAGAUCGGGGAUCAAAAUCAAUGCACAAGGAGCAUUCACCUUCAACUCAAAAGACUUGAGAUCCCGAGCAAGCUGUUCUGCAUUUAGUCCCUCACGUGCCAAUAACCUGUAAGCGAAACAAACAAGAACAUUUAUGGGAGAAAAACAAAACUAGGAAAAAUGAAGAACGUGAACUAUUAAAAGUGAUGAUACACUUUCAGACUGAAUGCUUCAACUAUUCCAUUCAGGGUGAUAUGCAUCAUGCCACUAUAAUAGUUCUUCUAUUCCAAGCAAUCAUCCAUUAUUUACUCAUUAAUUAAAAUAUAUUGCCACAUCACACAGAGGGGGUGUUUCACAGUAGAUCAAUUGAAGGAAGUAUCAUUUUCCAAAUAUCAAAUGGAAUAGCUUCAGAAAAAACCUAAACUGCAGUAAUAAUAUUGCUCUGAUUUUGCCCUAGAAUGCUAGAGAGAGAGCUAAGGAGAGAGAGAGGGGAUGUACCUUGUGGCUGCAACGGAUUGUGAUGGAGCUUCAGCUCUUAGGGUUUUUGACUUUAGCUUCUUAGAUAACGCUUCUAAUUGGUCUAAGUUCCUCUGAAAUAGACGCAAAUAGUGAACUCAGUUUCAGGAGAUUUAGGUAUUCAGAUGCUUCGUACAGUGCCAGACAGGUUGAGGAAAAUAAAAGGGAGUAACAUUUUUAAUCUUAGGUGUGGACCAGCAUUUUUCACUUGCAUUCCCAUGUCUACAUUAGGAUUUCCAAUUAGUAGGGGAAACAAACCCACAUGAGACGAACCUAAUGCAACUAUUUCAAUUCGUUCCGACAGACUUUCAUUAUUUGGAAAUGAAAAAUGAAGAUAAAAUAACAAUUUUCCUCCAAACGUUUUUCCAUUGUUUUUGUCCUCGUGAAAAAUGAAAACCGGAUUCAACCAAGCCAAGUAGUUGUACUACUUCCAGCUUAAAUUUUUCCCAUUCCAAGAUUCCUAUUCUGUGAGAAACGUACGAUGAAAGUUCGAAUUCCUCUUCUCUCGCUACGUUUUCUCAUCAAUCAGACGAAUAUUGAGAUAAAUCCAAAAUAAAACAUACCAACUUCUGGUUAUCCCUUUGAAUAUAGUUUUGACUAAUUUAGUUUCCUGCAUUUUCAGGGCAUCCGAAACUAGAAUUAUAAAAAGAAGGCAACGAAAGAAGAACCUGGAGAGGAGGGAACUGAGCCGAAGGAGCGGCUUGUUCGAGAAGCUUCGUGGAGGAGUGGAGGAGAUCGGUCCAGGAACUCAUGUCGGAGUCGGUGGCCAUGGUUGCUGACUUCGGUGUGUGAGAGAGAGGGGGAAGGGUUUUAUUAAGCCCUAAUUUUGAAAGGAGAGAGAGAACGGUAAAGUGGUGUUCUUAACGCGGUAGUCCCGUGGGGAGGGGUGUACUGUAUUUAUAUGCUCCUUCUCCACUGUCGAAUCUUGGCCGUUGAUUUCAGUGGUAAAAGUUCUAUCGGGCGGUCCUUUUGAGUUUUCAGUGAUUCCGUUAAUGUAUGAUUUAAGUAUCCACCGUUGGAUUGCCCUUAUUGGUUGACCUGCGGUAAAAAUUUGUUUUCUAUUCCACGAAAUUAAUUUAGAAGGAAUCCAGGGAGGGGGAAUUACUCGGAGACCCUUCUUAUAAAUAAUUUUCUAUUCUUUAAUUUUUUUUAAAUAUGUUUAACUAAUUUUGGAUAAAAAUUAAUUUUAAAAAUAUAUAUUUAGGAAAUAUAUUAUUUUUAAAAACUUAAAAAAAUAAAUAAUAUUUUAAAAUAAUUGAAAUUUGUAUUUAAGAACGGUUUCAAAGGUUGUUUUUUAGUAACUAUUUUAAAAAAUGCUUUCAAAAAAAUCUUCAAAGUUUUGUUGAAUAACAUUUUUUUAAAAACAAAUCAUUUUAAAAAAUAAUUCUUAAUUAUUGUUAGAAAUAAAUUGUGAAAAUGCAACUGCCAAUUGUAUUAUAUUUAAAUUAUUUAAAAAAACACAAGUAUAGUAUAUGUUAUUAAAAAUUUAUUAUUUAGUAAAGCCUGAUUUAAAUAAAUAAAUAGAGAGAUAGAAUGCCCUCCAUAUUGCCAUAAAAUCAAUUUCGAUUGAUAUUUAUGUUCUAAUCAUUGAGCGAAAGGGCGAGCCAGUGUUGAGGAUGCGGAGGGUAAAUGGUAUUUUGCGGCAGAGCCAGAAAGCCCUGCAAGAUCUGGAUUUGCUCAAGGUACUCCAAUCUGAGAUCAGACACGAACAAUCCCAUGAUCGAUUUCAGGUACCCUUCAACACAAUCUCUAAUCCAGCCUCAUUAACUCGCUCCGUUGCGUUUCUAUAUUUCGUCACCAAAACGAGAAAGAAGGCCGGAAUAAUCGUCCUAUUUCCAUGAAUGCAGAAUUAUCAAGGCGGUAAUCCGGGAGAUUUCGUGGUGGACUGGGACUCACCAGCUUCUCAAGAUGUGGUUUUGCGGAGGAAGUGCGAGUCGGGUGAAGAGGUCGCUGUCUCAGCCCUUCUGAGUCCCAUAACCUUUAGAAACGAGGAGGGUUCAUUUCCAAGGGACCUUCUGAUGAAGGUGUGUGUAAAGAAACCUGGUUUGAGUCCUGUUUUGCAGUUUGAUUGUGGAGUUUUUAGCAAAGACCAUGAAAGGUUGGAGUUCAACAUCCACAGUGCAUAUUAUAUUCCCUCACCGGCUUGUCUGAAUCCCUCAGCCUACAGAGGGCCCUCAUUCAGGUGCAAUUCUCUGUCAAUUGGCUUGAUUAAUGAGCAUUGUUUGCGAGAUUUUUACGUAUUUAGAGAGAAAAAAAAAAAAACCCUUCAAGUAUAUUAUCGUCUUUACUUGGCAAAGAAUGUGAUUUUAUGCCUUAUUGUCUAUAUUUUGAUGAUUUUGAAAUUGAAUAUCUGGGUCUGCGAAUCUUAUCUACAUUUGUAUGCGCAAGCCAUCUUCUUUAGAUUCUUUCGUUUGUUCUUGGAGUUAUUGCUCAAUUCAAGAACAUGAUUUCAAAUCAUGCAGCAUAGGUGGGCAAACAUAAAACACAAAGCCCAUGUCCCAUGACUAAUCGUUACUAGAAGCAAAACAAAUUGUGUCAUGAUCCUGCUAUAUAUAAGUGAUGAUGAUUUUGAAAUCGAAUAUCUAGGUCUAUGAUUCUUAUCUACUUUGUAUGCAUAAGCUAUCUUCGUUAGAUUCUUUCUUUUGUUCAUGGAAUUAUUGCUCAAUUCAAGAACGUGGUUUCAAACCAUGCAGCAUAGGUGAGCAAACAUAAAACACAACCUAUGUCCCGUGAUUAAUCACUACUAGAAGCAAAACAAAUUGUGUCAUGUUCCUGAUAUACAUAUAUAAAGUGAUGGUAAAUCGUCACUUUUGGGGGGCGUUAGCACUCAUAGCCAAUGAGAUGUGUAGCAUUGGUUUUUUUUUUUUUUUUUAAUCAGCAACGAAGAAUAUAUAAAGACACCAAAUAAAAGGAGGGGGAGCACCUAGGUGCAUGGGAGGUAUACAAAGGGAGCCAACAAAACAGAAACACCACAAAAGAGCAAAGAAAACAUCCUCCCACUAACUAACACACAGUUGGCCAAUAAGAACUAACAAGGAACCAGGACCCUUUUGAAUAUAUAGGUGAGUCUAGUGGAAAAGGGUACAAAUAAGAGAGUUCUUUAAAGCUUGAUCCCAGCGUUAAAUUCUAUCAAAGUAUUUUUAAUUCCUCUCUUGCCAAGAAUCCAAAACAAGCAAAGGGGGUUGUCCUUCAAAUAUUUUUUCUAUUUUUGCUAACAAAACUCCCAUUCCACCCUUCAGCUAAUCUUUCACCAAGAAUGGGAAGACCCAAGAACAACCAAAGAGAGAAGAUAACAAAUGCCAAAGACCCCUUACCUUUGCACAAUGGAUUAGCAAGUGAUUAGCCGAUUUUUCUAAAUUCAUGCAUAAACAACAAUUGUUUGCUAACACCCAUCCUCUUCUCUUAAGAUGACCUAAGGUCAAGAACUUUCUCAAACCGCCUCUGAAGCAAAAAGCCCACCUUUAAAGGCUCUCAAGAGCCCCACACUAGCUUAAAGGGGAAAGAAAUACCUUUAGCCGACUCUAAGAAAGAGUAGAAAGAUUUCACUGAGAACUUCCCACACAUGCUAAUCUUCCAAAUCAGUUUGUCGUCAUUCUCACUACACUUCCCAAGCACAUGUAGCAUCCUAAGUAACUCCUCAAUGGUAUGUAGCUCUCAAUCUUGAAACUGCCUUAUGAAUCCUGGGUUCCACACAACCUGUUUGCUAACGACCUCCCUAGCACUCACCACCCAAGCCUCUUUAUUAGAAGAAAAAGAGAAGAGAGACAAAAAAGAAUCCUUUAAAGGAGCCUCCCCACACCAAACAUCAAGCCGAAAUUUUGUUUUUCCAUUGCUAACCAUAAAACUUGUUUUGGCCUUAAAGGCUUCCCAACCUCCUCUUAUUGCCUUCCACAAGCCAACACUAUAACUCUCUCUCCUAGCAAGAGAGAACCAACCUCCAAGUUCCUCCCCAAACUUUCCCACUACAAAUCGUCUCCAAGGGGACUCCCUUUCCAAAGCAAAUCUCCAACACCAUUUUCUAAGCAAGACUAUAUUAAGAGAGGACAAGACCCUAAUACCAAACCUUCCUAGCUUCUUGUAUUUUCAAACAAAAGACCAUUUGACUAAGUGAGGUCUUCUCUCAAGAAGUCCCUUUGAAUUUUUUCUAACGUUAAAGUCACCAUUGUAGGAAUUAUUGGAAGAGACAUAAAAUAGAUGGACAUAUUGCAUAGAGUACUUCUAAGCAAAGUAACUUUACUACCCUUUGAAAAGCACUGUCUUUUCCAAAGGGCUAACCUUUUAUGAAACCUCUCCUCAACCACAUCCUACAUAGAAGGGGACUUAAACGGAGCACCCAAAGGCAAGCCUAAAUAAGUAGAAGGGAGCUUCCCCACUUUGCAACCCAAUAAAGAGGCAAACUCCUCAACAUUAAGGACUUCCCCCACCAAAAUCAACUUGCUUUUAUAUAAAUUAAUUUUCAGCCCUGAAAAAGUUUCAAACCAAAACAGAACCCAACUCAAGUAAAUCAAUUGGUCCGAACAAGGCUCACAAAAGAGUUGGGUAUCAUCCGCGAAUAGGAGGUGAGAAAUCUCCACUUCUUUUUUCCUUUUACCUCCUACCUUGAAACCUAAAAUGAAAUGCCCCUCACCUACCUUUCUUAAUAGAAUACUAAGAGCCUCCAUCACUAACACAAAUAGAUAUGGGGAUGGAGGAUCCCCUUGCCUUAGACCCCUUGAGCUCUGAAAGAAACCAAUUGACGAACCAUUAACUAAGAUCGAAAACCUAGUUGUUGAUAUACAAAAUUGAAUCCAAUCAACCCAUCUUCGAUCAAAACCCAUGCCAAUUUUCUGCAACACUUCCAAAAGGGCAGGUCCAAUUAACAUGGUCAUAGGUUUUCUCAAUGUCCAACUUACAAAUCACUCCUCUUUGACUCCUUAAUCUUGAAUCUAUAACCUUGUUUGCAAUUAGGGUUGCAUCUAGGAUUUACCUACUUUGCACAGAAGCAUUUUGAGAAUUGAACACCACUCUUGCUAUAACUUUCUUUAGCCUGUUUGCCAAAACUUUAGCUAGAAGUUUAUACAAACUUUGCAUUAAAUUAAUUGGUCUAAAGUCUUUAAGUCAUCGACUCUCCUCUUUUUUCAGAAUUAAGUCUAAGAACAUGGCAUUUAGGCUCCUUUCAAAAGAUCCUCAGGUGUGGAAUUCCCUAAACAGACCCAACACUUCAUUCUUAAGAAAGUCCUAACAGGUGCUGCCAUAAAGCUAAAGGAAAACCAUCUUGACCGGGGCCUUUGUCUCCUCCAAUUCUAGCAACGCUGCAUAAACCUCCUCAGUGAAAAGCCUCUUCCAACCCUCCAGAAGCCUCAAUGCUUAGCCUUGAAAAAGGCAACCCAUUAAUACUUGGUCUCCACAGGCCACCUGAAUCCGCCAACAGAAGCUGGCAAUUGUUAACAAUUUUUUCUGAAAUUUGAGGCUCCUCCGUAACCCACUCUCCAUUCACCUUAAUUCUUCCUAUGAGAUUUCUUUUGCAAUGAGCAUUAGCCAUCUUAUGAAAAAACUUUGUAUUUUUGUCACAUUCUUUCAACUGCAAUUCCCUAGAUUUUUGCCUCUAGGAGGUUUCUUGUUUGUUUAAGUCACUAUGAGGUUCUAAGUGUAAGCAUUCAUUACCACAGCAAACAAGUUUACCUUGUAUUUGCAAAUAACACCUACUCACCUGUAGAGCUUUUUAUGUUUUAAAUUGUUGUACUAAAUUUACCUUCUAUAGCAAUUUAUGUUAGAUGGAACAUUGUAUCCUACAUAAUUAAUAUUUUGGCACUCAAACAAAAUAUCAGCAGAGGCUACAUUAGAUUUGGUGUCUAAAAUGUUGGAUAUCAUCUGGGAGCCUUCAUUUUAUUUUUGGGCAUUUUCGAGCAUGGAUGUUGCUCUAAGCACAUAUGAAAGUUGUUUUUCCCACUUUUGCACUAUUGAACUGGAUUACUAGAAAUCAGGUUUCUGUUCCCUUUUUACCCUUUUUCUAUGUACAGCAGAAGCACUUCCUCUUUAUCCCUUCUUGAUGUAUUUUAAAUACUAAUUGGUUUAGGCAGUUGAAGCCUUGAAGGAUGAAUCAAGAUUUUGGUAAAAACAUGAUUAGUUGCCUGGUGGCUUCAAUUUGGUAAUCAGGUUUGGAAUUCUUUGGAAGUUCAUCAUCCUUAAAUGUUGUAGAUGCCAAAAGAAGCAUCCUCUUUCCAGUUUUGGUUUUGGAAAACUGGCCCUAUUCUCAUGUAUUUAGCAUCCAACCUACACACUCAUCUAUUCUCACUCAUUUAUCCUCUUUUCCAUGCUUAGCAAAGCUUUGAAUAUUUGCCAACUAUUUGGUUGCUUGUCUCUGUUAUUGUCUGGCAUUGAUAAAAUGAAAUAUUUAAUUGUUGGUAGGUAUGCUUAAUACAUUUUACUAGUUAACUCUAUUAUUGUCUCUUAAGAAUGGGACAAUAAGAGAAACUUUUGGAUUCUAGUCUCUAUAUGGGUGCUUCAGGGGGGAGGCAGGAGCAGCUUAAUUGUUAAUUGGAGGCAAGGUAGUGGAUUAUAUGAAAGUGGGAGUUUUUGUGAGGAGAAAUUCUUUUUUCAUACAUUCAAAUCUAAAAGCUAUAGUGUGAGAAUAAAAUAAAAGCAUUUUAAGUUCUUAUUUGGUGCAAUGCAUUACAGGAGCAGUUUCCCAUCACAAUCAAAUUAGCUUAAGUAAUGUGUCCCAUCACUGGUAACAGAAAAUCUCUGAGCAUCUUUUAGUGUUCCCAGGCCACUCGGAGACCCCACAUUCCCUUUGUUUUCAGCCUUAAUUGGCUAAUAACUCUUAUGACCCACAGGGUUUAGUUUUUUGUCCUACGUGGCCUACUUCCUAGGCCCAUCUGAGGCUUGUUUGGCUAUCCCAAAUUGAUUUAACAAAACCUUGACUCCAAACUAUUGGAGGGCUGAUUACUGGAACCUUUUUUUUGUUGCUCAAGUCCAUCUAGUACCGUAAUCCUUCUAAAAUGAUUGCAAUUAUGUUGUUUUUUAAACACCCUUAAUCCAUCUUUUUAAUGAACUUCUUCUUAUUGUUGUCUUCUGAGCUUUGGCACAUUCACUUGUCUUCAUCCAACCUGGACACCUUGAUGUCACUUUGUUUUUCCGUAUGCAUAUAGAAAUCAUAAGGCUACAGUUGCUGCCUCCUUAGUGGCCAAUAUAAGAAUAGAUCUAAUGUUUGCCAAUGGCUUAAUAUUGGGUUGGAAGGGGCUUUGACAAAUGAACCUGAGUUUUGAUGCCCAAUUCUGAAACCACAUAAGAUAUGAAAUGUGUAGAAUCUGUAUUGGGAAUGGUGUUUGGCAUGCACCUCUAGUGGCACAUCCAUGAAAAUGACUGAAACUGAAACAGCGUCUAACAGGAUAACAAAUACUUAUAUUUGAAGUGUCCUUAUCAGGCUUGUGGUUCAUACUUUAGAGGGGGGCUUCUUCUCAGGUUCUCAGUUUUCUUGGGGGCACCCAUCUAUUAUUAAACUUCAACCUGUCUUUUUAUCUUUUGUGGUGAGUCUGUUCAAAUACCUAACCACCCAACUAAUUUCCUUUUUUAUAUCCCUAUGCAGUUCGUUGGACCCUAAUUUACAGGACGCACUCAAGGAGUAUCUACUAGCCAGGGGUAUCGGAGACGACCUGACCAACUUCCUUGUCAUUCACCUUCAUAGAAAGGAGCAAACCCAAUAUACGAGCUGGUUGCAUAAACUGGAAGCUAUGAUGGCAAAGGACGAUUGAUCUGAAGAGUGGCCAUCACCAGGUUUAACUCACACAUGCCCCAUUCAUUGUUUAACAUGCGCACUCCAUCUUCUGUUGUCGGUUUCCCUUUACAUCUCAAUCUUUAAUCAGUAAUGGAGUUUAUUUUUAAUUUUUUUCCCAGAGCUAUAUUCACUUAUAACCAUGCCGUAAGCUUGUUAGAAUCUUUUACUAUUGAAAUUGGGAACUUAUGAUGGGUUCCCUUAAAUUUAUUUGAAUUUGCCCUGAUGUUCGAUGGGUAUUUCUUCAUUCUAUCUUUUUCUCUUUCUUUCAGUGAUGCCACAUCCUCACGAAAGCAACUCCUACAAAAUUCGCUGCCAUCAAACCGGUUAGGGGUGAUGCUAGAUAUCACCAAAAUAAAUAAAAAAAUAAAAAAGUAAUCACAUGUGCCUAUGUACUUUUAGAAGAAAAUUGCAAGUGUGAAUCUGUUGGUGAGCUCUGAGAGGUGAGAAUUACUGCCUUGGAAAGUCGCACAUUAAGAAAUUCUUUUCCCUUUUCAUUUUCUUGGAAAAUGUGACGGAGCAGUAAGGCUGCAACUAUUGGCAUGGGCAUAUGAUGAGACCAAGACUCAGUGGCAUGAGGACUAAACUUUUUCAGAAGAAAGAAAUGAUUGGCAUGGGCACACAAUGAAACCAAGACUCAGUGGCAUGAGUUUUUAAGAAAAAGAAAUGAAAGGAAAAAAAUUAUUCCUUUGCUUGUUUAUUAGCAAGGAACAAAAUUAAAUAUAUAUUAUCUUACUAUAAUGUCUUUGUAUAAAAUAAAAUAAAAAAUUACAUUUAUCAUUGUAUAGAUAAGACAUAUUAAAUAAAUGAAUAUAGAAAGAAUUAAAAUUUAUUUCUUAAACUUAUUAUUGUUUGAUUAAAUAAAUUAUUAUACCUACUUUAUUUUAUCUUAGCAACCUUAUCCAUUUUAGAUCAGAUCUCAAGCAAAAAACAAAGAUUCAUGGAAAUGAAAUUUAAAAGAGGAUAAGAGAAUGAGUUGUUCAAAUUAUGGGGUGGUCCGGAGAAGCAUUCCAUGAAUUAAAGAUGGCCUAUAAUGUGAGGUGUUGGAUCAAGUAAAUCAUAUGGUAAAAUUGUUUGGGUUUGGAAAAUAGAUCAAAUCAAACAGACCACUCUUCUCUUGAACCUUGGAGGAAUCUCUCCCAGUCCCACUGAUAUUUCCAAAUUUAUUGUUGUAGGAUUUUAUUUUUAAAAUGUAAAAACAAAACUAACUAACUAUCAUAAAUAUAUUUUAUUAUGUGCUCUUAAAGGUAAUAAAAUUAGUAGUGUACCCAAAUUGUGACCCCACCACGAUUCAGUGGAAAAGUGUAUUUUUCUUAAACUUUAACAGAAAAACACAAGAGGAAUAUUUUAUUUUUUUUGCUUUUAAAUAAGAAUCCGAAGACACAAAAGUGGAGCUAAAGUUGAUCCUUAUCCCUUGAAAGGUAGGGAUAGACUUCGAUGGAAUAAACUGACCGUAGUUAAUUGGAUAUAGUGGAUAGAAGUGUAGAUAAGAGAGAGAGAGAGAGAGAAUAGUAGUACUAAACAAGUAUGGAGUCGUUGGUGUGGUUGGACUUGGAACUUAAGAGGUUGAAGAAGGCAAACUGAUGAAAAUAUCUCUUCUGCAACAAGCUCCACUUCCUAUAUCCUACAUUCCUACCUACCCAAUACCCUCGGCUUUAAUGUAUGUCUCCCAUAUCCACCAAAAUUCUCAACUCAAAAGCCUGUUGAAUAAAUAUCCUUAAGAGGUUGGGUGGGUGGGGUGGGGUGCCCUUGGUCUCAUGUCCAGUUGCGCGAUGAGUUUGCAGAGGCAGCCACUUGGCCCACUUGAUAUAUCGAUAACACUGCACAGUGCACGCUUGCCCACGCCCAGGGGUAAGUGGAUAAACCCCACAAAGGGAUAGAAGGAAGUGGGAUUUCCCAGUUAGCCAGAAAAAAAUGGCAGAGGUGUUUUGGAGAAAUCCAAGCCUCAAAUGCAAUCCUCUCCAGUCUCCACUUGACUUUUGCUUUUUGUACUAGUCUACUAGAAGACUAGAAGCUUUGGUGCUUUGUGAUGGGACUCAGCAAUUAGUAAUUAGUAAUUACUGUUGCAUUCGCUUUCUAACCAAACAUAUCCCAUUAUGAUUUCUAAUUACAAAUUAGCUUGAUUUUAAUCUUCAGUGCCAGAGAUCACCAACUUCUUUAUCAUUUUUUUUCUCUCUCUCCCCUCCAAUAUAACUGGGAGUCUCCUGGCAACUGAAGUUCUUUUUAUCCGCUUACCACCUUGUUUCUUUCUUUUUCUCACUUAUCAUCUAUAAAUAGAAUUGUUUGUUGCAUAGUUUCUUUUUCUCUUUUAAAACAGUUUUAAAAUUAUUUGUUUGCCUUUUUCUCACUUUUAAGGCAUUGCAUAUUUGUGUGUAAUACAAAAAUUCUUAAUAUAUUAUAUAUAUUUUUUCAUUGUUGUUUAUAAAAAAUAACUAAAAGCACUUUAAAUUUAUUCCUCUAAAAUAAAUUAUUUUUCAAAAAAAUCUUAAAAAUACUUUUUAUUAAACCUAUUUUAUAACUCAAAAAACUAUAUUAUUAUUUAGGAUUGCAAUUUUUACGAGUUAAUGUGACCAACUCAAGCCCAAUUCCAAUUAAAAAAUAAUCCACCUAAAUCUAACCCAAAUUCAAUCUAAUCUCAUUUCUUUAAGUUCAAAUAGACUUCAGAUUAGUUAGGUCUGAUCCAAAUUAGUUAAGUUGAUUGGAUUACAUAAUUUAAAAUUUGUAAUUUUUUUAAAAUUAUAUAUUUACAUGAAAAUUUGAAUAAUAGAUAAAAUAAAUUUUCAAGAUAACAAUAAUAAAUAAAUAAAUUUACAUAUCUUUCAAAAUUAAUAAAAAAGUAAAUAAUGUUGUAAAUCAAUGAUAAAUGGAACACAAAUAAAGUAGUAGAGAUAAACUAUAUAUUGUUUUGAUAAUAAUAUAUAAUAGGGAAGAAUAAAUCACGAAAUUGAGAAAACUGAGAUAAUGAAAUAAAGAGAUAAUGAGAGAAUGUAAGAAAUUAGGGGAUGCAUAUUACAAGAGAUAGGAAACCCUUUUAUAGGCUUUUUCAAAUAGCUUUCAUCAAUAUUCCUAUUAAUGAAUAUUAAUGGAACUAUAAAUAACAUUAAUGGUUUUCAUUAAUGAGUAUUAACAGAAGUUAUAAAUAAUAUUUAAUUAACAUUUAUUAUAAUUAAUGUGGUGGUAUUCAUUACUUUAGUCAUAACACUCCCCUUAAAUGUCCACCACAUUGAAGAAUAUGCCUCAUUAAAAACUUGCUAGUAAAAAACCCCAUGAAAAAAACAUACCAAAGGAAAAAUAAUAUAAUAUUCUUAUAAUUCUUUAAGUUACUCUUGGUAUGUUAAGACUGUCUCAUUAAAAACCUUGUUAGUAAAACUCAGUAAGACAAAACUUGGACGAAAGGAAAAAGAGUACAAUACACUAACACCCUUUUACAAACAUACUCCCCCUCAUGUUGAUAUCCUUGAGUUGAUACAUUAUAAUCUUGUGUAUCAACUUCUUGAAUAUUGAGGUUGGUAAUGAUUUUGUGAAUAAAUCUGCUAGAUUAUUACUUGAGCGUAUUUGUUGCUCAUCAAUUUCACCACUCUUAUGAAGUUCGUAUGUAUAAAAGAAUUUUGGUGAAGUGUGCUUAGUUCUAUCUUCUUUAAUAUAACCCUCCGUUAUUUGUGUAAUGCAUGCAACAUUAUCUUCAAAUAAUAUUGUCGGGUCACCUUUGAUAGAGGAGAGUCCACAUGAUUCCCAAAUAUGCUAGAUCAUAAAUCUUAGUCAUAUACAUUCAAGACUUGCUUCAUGAAUUGUCGGUAUUUUUGAAUGAUUUGAUGAUGUGACCAUCAUUAUUUGUUUGACAGAUCUCCAUGAAAUAGCGGUACUAUUGCAAUUAAACACAUACCUUAUUUGUGACCCACCUUUAUGUGGAUUUGAAAGAUAUCAUGCAUUUGCAUAUCCAAACAAUUGUUGUUUUGAUUCUCUUGAGUAAAAUAAACUCAUAUCAAUAGUUCCACAAAGAUAACGUAAUAUAUAUUUGAUACCAUUCCAAUGUCUUCGAGUUGGAGCGAAACUGUAUCUUGCUAAUAAAUUGAUAGAAAAAAACAAUGUCUGGAUGUGUACAAUUGACAAGAUAUAUAAGUACACCAAUAGCACUAAGAUAUGGAACUUCAAGACCAAAUAAUUCUUCAUAUUUUUUCGCAAUAACGAAAUUGGUCAUUUUUCACAUCAAGUGAUCAGAUAACCAUUGGAGAACUUAAAUAAUACACUUUAUCCGUAUAAAAAUGCUUCAACACUUUCUUAAUAUAUGUUGAUUGAUGUACUAAAACUUCAUUUGGAAAAUGUUUGAUAUGCAGAUCAAGACAAAAUUUUGUUUUUCCAAUAUCUUUCAUCUCAAAUUCCUUUUUCAAGUAAUUUGUUGUUCUUGUGAGCUCUUUAGGAGUUCCAACAAGAUUUAAGUCAUCAACAUACACUAUAAUAAUUGCAAUUCCGAUUUCUGAUUUUUUAAUGAAGAUGCAUGAGCAGGAUUAUUCACGUACCCUUUUUUUAGCAAGUAUUCACAAAGGCGAUUGUAUCGCAUGCGUCCAGAUUGCUUUAAUUCAUACAAAGAUUGUUGUAACUUGAUUGAGUACAUACUACGAGGCUUUGUACUAUUUGUUUCAGGUAAUUUAAAUCAUUCAAGGAUUUUCAUGUAUAUAUCAUUAUCCAUGAAUCCAUAUAAAUAUGUUGUAAUAACAUCCAUGAGAAGCAUAUCCAGUUCUUUUGAGACUGUCAAACUAAUUAAGAAAUGAAAUGUGAUUGCAUCCAUGACAGAAGAGUAUGUUUCCUUGUAGUCAAUACCAGGUCUCUGCGAGAAACCUUAUGCUACUAAUCGCUUUUUAUAUCUUAUGAUCUCAUUAUUCUCAUUGCGUUUUCGUACAAAUACCCAUUUGUACCCAACAAACUUUAUAUCUUCAAGUGUUUGGACUAUAGGUUCAAAAACUUCUCGUUCUGUUAAUGAGUUUAAUUUUGUCUGCAUAACUUCUUUCCAUUUUGGCUAAUCAUUUCUAUGUCGGCAUUCUUCCACAUUCCGUGGUUCAGGAUCAUCAUUUCUUAUGAUAUCAGAGGCCACUUGGAAAACAAAAAUAUUGUUAAUAACAAUAUUAUUUCGAUCCCAUUUUUAUUAUGUGUGUACAUAACUUACUGAUAUCUCACAAUUUUCAAGUACAUGUGCCUGUUCAGGGGUUUCCUGUUCAAUAUGUGCCUCUUCAGGGGCUUCUUGUUCAAUAUGUGCCUUUUUAGGAGCUUUAUGCAUUAUUUAUGUCUCUUAUAGGGCUAUAGAUUUAUCAAAUUUAAAUUGAUUAGUCAUUUUGAUGGUCUCUUCCAAAGUGCCAAGUUUUUAUUGUGUUCUCAUCUUCCAGGGAGUUACAUCCUUUGAGUCGACAGGUCUGCCACGCCUCAAGUGUAUCUUAGAUUCAUUUGUUAACUGUUCUAUAGGGACAUCAAUCCGUGCUGAAGUAUUUGCAACUAAGAUAUGUAACUUUGUCAUUUUCUUUGUAUCAAUGAAUGCAUCUGGUAGUUGAUUUGCAAGAUUUUGUAAAUGAAUGAUCCUUUAAACUUCUAGUUCACAUUGACUUGUACGAGGACCAAGAUGGGACAUAGUAGAUGUGUUCCAAGUAAUUUCUUGUCGUUCUUCAAGAAUUGACUUUUCUCCCCCUAAUGACAGAAAAACACCCUCAUUAAAAUAACAAUCUGCAAAGCGGACUGUAAAAACAUCAUCCGUCAAAGGUUUAAGAUAUCUUGUGAUAGAUGAAAAAUCAAAACCUAUAUAAAUCCUAAGUCUUCGUUGGUGACCCAUUUUAGUGCAUUGUGUAGGUGCAAUUAGUACAUAUACUGCACAACAAAAAAUUCGUAAGUGAUAAAUAUUUGGUUGUUUUCCAAGCACAAGUUGUGAAGGGGAGUAUUCAUGGUAAGUUGUAAGUCAAAUACAAACUAAAGCCGCAACAUGCAUAAUAGCAUGUCCCUAGGUAGAAGUAGGUAGUUUGGUUUUCAUUAGUAAUGGUCGAGUUAUUAAUUGGAGACGUUUGAUGAAAGAUUCUGCUAAACCAUUUUGGGUAUGAGUAUGAACAACAUGAUACUCAAUAUUUUUCCCUACUGACAUGCAAUAGUCAAUGAAUGUUUGAGAAGUAAAUUUGUCAACAUUAUCAAAACGUAUUUGCCUUAAUUGGAUGAUCUGAAAAUUGUGCUUGUAAUUUGAUUAUUUGUGCAAAAAGUCUAGCAAAGGCAACGUUACGUGUUGAAAGGAGACAAACAUGUGACCACCUAGUAGAAACAUCUAUUAAGAUCAUAAAAUAAUGGAUUGGUCCACAUGGUAGAUGAAAGACCCAUAUAUGUCCCCAUGUAUUCUUUCUAAAAAAACUGGUGACUCAGAUAUGACUUUAGUAAAAGAUGGUCUAACUAUCAAUUUAAUUUGUGAGCAGGCAACACAUGAGUAUUCAUUAAGCAAAAAAUCUUUUGGUUCUUUAAUGGAUGUCCAUGUGAGUGUUCGAUUAUUCGACGCAUCAUUGAAGACCUUGGGUGACCUAGCCUGUCAUGCCAAAAGACAAAAACUUUUGGGUCGUUGAACUUUUGGUUCACGACAACAUAUGAUUCAAUAGACUUUAUAGUUGUAUGAUACAACCUAGAUGAUAAAGCUGUGAGUUUUUCCAUUAUAAGCUUCUGAACAGAUAUAAUGGAAUAAAUGGAAAUAUAUUCUACAUUAUCUUUAUUCAUAAUUUCAAUAUGAUAUCAAUUUAUGUGGAUAUCUUUAAAACUGAGCAAAUUUAUUUUGGAUUUGCUAGAAUAUAAAGCGUUAUUUAUAUGGAAUCUAAUUUCAUUUGGUAGUGUUAUGUUUGUUCUUCCAAAGCCUUCAACUAAGGUUGUGGUACUAGAUAUGGUACUUACAUUAGCUUUUAUUAAUGUCAAUCGAUGAAAUAUUUUUCAUCUCGAAGAAUUGUGUGCGUGGUUGCACAAUCUGCGAGACAUACAUCAUCCUCGUUCAUCUUGAGACUAAAUAACACAUUGAUUUUAGAUAUAACUAAUAUUAAAAAAAAAACAAGGCAUAAUGUAAAUAACAAAAGGAAAUCAGAUGUAAAUAUGAGACAUAAUACUAUAUUAUUUUAUAUAUAAAGUAACAUUAAUCAAUGUUAAUAUUCUCAUCAUUUAUUAAAUUGUCUGUUUUUUACUAGGAUCUCCAAAUAAAUCAAUAUCAUGGUAGGUUAGGUCUAAUCCAUCAUUAUCGGUAAAGUUCAUCUUUAUUUUUUUUCCUUUUACUUUUAUUGAUGUUUGGUAAAGGUUGACCAAAUGUUUAGGCAUACGAUAGGUAUGCGACCAAUGCCCCUUUAUACCACGUCUAUAACAAUUAUUCUCAUGGUUCUUAGGAGGUUUAUCUUAUUAACACUUCCAAUUUUCUUGUUUUGCUUCAGUAUUAUUCCACUUCUACUGGUGCAAUGAGGCUUUCAUUUUCUGAGAAUUUGAUGAAUUAUUACCAUAAGUGUGAAACCAAGGUUUGGUUAAUCUUGAUUUUGAUGAUAACAAAACAAGGUUUAGAACUAAUGAUCAUAUUUCAAGUGUGAUUAGGCAAGGCGACUUCCAAAGUGGCAAUCCAAAGACAAAUCAAGCCAAGGAGAAAUCAUGAAGAAGAAGACUAUCUCAAAGAAAAGAGUUUUUCAAGACCAAAGCUUCUUAAGAUCUCUUUGUAAGGUUGUUGGUGCACUAAGACUUUCAUGCAUUUCAUUCUUUAUUUAUGCACCAAAAUCAUCCAAGAGUAAUAAUGUUUUAAAUAUCUUUAAAAUUGGAUAAUUUCAUGUUUUCAACUAAAACCUUGUGUUAAAUAAUUUUCAAACUUGUGUUAAAAGGUUUUAAGUUGAAAAACGUUGGGUGUUGAGCCAAAAAAAGGCUCAACCGGUCGAGGAACCGAUCGACCAGUUGUGCUCGUCCGGUCGAGUACCGGUCGAGGUCCGAUUGAGGCUCAACGGUCACCUGCCAAGCAUUUAAUGCUAACAGCUAGUCAACCGGUCGAUCCCUAACUCGACCGGACGAACCCCCAAACGGCUAGUUUGGGUUUUCUCUUUUAUAAAAAGGCUCCAAUCUUCAUUGUUUCAAGAGCUUAACCUUCCCAAAUCAUUCUUGAUUAUAUUUGAGCAUUGGAAGAGUGUUUUUGAGUGUACCAUUAUUUCAUAACUUGCAUAUCUUUAGUGCACCAUUCAAUCCUAGUUUUUCUUGUAUCUUUGAGCCUAAAGUUCUAUUACUAAGAUUUUUGUGAGAUCAUUAUUUGUAUAUCUUUGUGAGGAAUUUUCUCAAGUGAGAGGUAUCACUUGAGAGGUUAUUCAAGAAAGGGAUAUCUCUUGAAGAAGUGUAAAGGGUGCUUGAAGCCAAAAGUCCAAGAGGGUGAAUUGGAACCAUAAUCCAAUUGUAAAGAGAUUGGAAACUUGGUUGAAACUUCAAGAUAGUGGAACCCUCACUCGGUUAGGAGGUUGAGGAGAGUGGACGUAGGUAAGGAAGUGUCGAACCAUUAUAAACUCUCGUGUUUGCUCUCUCUCUUCCCUAACUCUUUUAAAUUAUAUGCAAUUGUGUUUAUUUUGUUUAUUAUAUAUUUGCAUAUAAUUGUCUCUUAUUUUUGCAUAGUUUAAAUUUGUGAAAAAGAGACCAUCACCCUAUUUACCUCUCCCCCUUAUAAGGUGAUUACCAUAGUUUGGAUUAGCCUCAAAUUCCUAACAAUAAGAACCAUGGUAUUAGGGAUUUCUUCCAUGUCCUCAUCUUCGUCCAUGUCUGCGAGUUUUGGACAAUAUUGCAUUAACUCCAAGGAAUGGUUUGGAUAUGGUUGGACGAGACUGGUGAUUUUUCAUCAAAAGCUCAUUAUUUUGUUCAGUAACAAAAAGACGUGAUAUUAAUUCAGAAUAUUUUGUAAAUCUAUGCUCUCGAUAUUGCUACUGCAGGAGCACAUUCAAGGCAUGAAACGUAGUAAAAGUUUUCUCUAACAUGUCUUCUUCUAUGAUUUUUUUUCUCCACAUAACUUUAAUUGAAAGCUGAUUUUGAAAAGUGCAGAGUUAUAUUCACUAACAGUUUUAAAAUUUUGCAAUCUCAAGUGCAUUCAAUCAUAUCAAGCUUUUAGAAGAAUCACAGUUUUCUGGUGGUCAUAUUUUUACUUCAAAUUACUCCAUAGAGUAAAAGGGUACUUCACCGUAAGAUACUCAUUUUUUUAAACCUUCAUGAAGGUGAUGAUGAAGGAAAAUCCGUGUUUUUACGUGAUCCUAUAAGGAUGUUUGAUUGUCUUCUUUGAUUGUAGCUCUAAGAUUCAUUGCAUCAAGAUGUAUUUUAGCAUUAAGGAUCCAAGAUAAAUAAUUCUUUCCCGAAAUGUCAAGUGCCAUAAAUUCGAGUUUUAUGAGAUUCAACAUUGUCAAAUUACUUUAUAUAUAUGACCAAAACAAUAUUAUUAAAACCAGUUAUAAUAAAUUGAUAGCAUUUGUAUAACUUUGAUUAUAAACAAAAGCAAAUAAUUUGUUUAUAACUUUUAACAAUAUAUAACAAAACAAAAUCAACAAUGAUAUAAAUAUGUAAAAUUUUAUUAUAUAUAAACAACUUCAAGUUUAAGAUACGAGAAUUACCUUUAAAGCAAUUUGUACUGGCAACGUGUUGUAAGAUAAGGAUAAAUGUAAUACAAAUAAAGUAGUAGAGAUAAAUUAUAUAUUAUUUUUAUAAUAAUAUAUGUCAGGGAGUAAGAAACCACAAAAGAGAAUUGAGAAAGUUGAGAUAGUGAAAAACAAAAGAGAAUGAGAGAAAGUAAAAAUUUUCUUUCUUAUUUAGGGAAUGCAUAUUACAGGGGAUGUGAAGCCCUUUUUUAGGUUUUGUAAAUGGUUUCCAUUAAUAUUCCUAUUAAUGAAUAUUAAUAGAACUCAUAAAUAAAUGAGUAUUAAUGAAAGUCAUAAAUAAUAUUUAAUUAAUAUUUAUUAUAAUUAAUGUGGUGACAUUCAUUAUUUAGUUAUAAUAGAUAAUAUAAUAUAAAUUGAUUUUUUUCUUUAAAAUUUAAAAAGAAAACAAAUAUUAUUAUAUAGAAUAUUAUAUAUUAUAAAUAUUAUAAAAUCAUUAAAUUGAGUUUGAAUUAAGUUUAAGUUACUUCAACUUUGACCUAAUUCCAACAAAAAAUGAGUUUGGGUUGAAAAAAAUGUAAUUCAAGGCAAAUCCAAAUGUUGAAAAUAAUUAUCAAAUUACACCUCUAUUAUUAUUAUUAUUAUUAUUAUUAUAUUGUUAGCUCUAAGAUUUUUAAACAAAAAGCACAUAUUAAGUUUUGGUGAAAUUAAUGUUUGAGAAAUUCGAGCAUCUUCAUUCACAUCCAAUCAUUUAGGUUUCAAAAGUUUUGAUGGAGUGAAUCAGAAAAAGUUGACAUUGCUUUCCAGAAAGCAAACUUUGAUGUUUUCAUUGUAUUAAUAAAGGGAAAAGAAGGAUUUUACAAGGGAAAAUUCUAGGGUACCUCUUCAGUACCUACCGAAAAGUUUUUAUAAGCCAUCGGAUGUUCAAGAUUACAUCUUGGCCAUUCAUUUUAAAUUUGAAAUAAAAAUUCCACUUAACCAGUUAAGGAAAGAACCGAUUGAGGCCUUCUUUCUUCCUCCCUUCUCAACAAUUUUGGGUUUAAAUAAAAUAAAUAUGAGAUAAAAAUAGAAUUGGAAAAAAAUAAAAAUAAAAAUGAUAUAAAAUUUGAAAACAUAUUUAUUAACAAAAAUCAUCAUAUAUCUUAAUUACAUUAUUUUAUUUUUAACAAACUAUUAAACAUUUAAAUUCAACAUGAAAAUGAAUAUGGUAAUAUUUUAAUAUGAAAUGAGUAUUUUCAUUAAAAUUCAACAUUUUGAUAAUCAUAUGUAAAGCUUAGGUAAUUAGAUUGUCCUAAUUUUUUUCCGUACUCUCCAAAAUUUACAUUUUUUGAAUUUAAGGUUUUUAAAGUUAAAUUACAAUAAAAUAAAUUACUAAUACUCUUUUGAGUUACUAAAAAUCAAUAUGAAAAAUGUGAUGAAAGUACCAAAUAUGUAUUUAUCUCAUUUUUCAUAUUGUUCUCAUAUUUUUCGUACCCUAAAUUAUUUAUAUUUUUAAAAUUUCAUAUUUACUUUUUAACUUGAAAUAAUAAUAACAUAGUUUAAUAUUAUUAUUUUGAGUUAUUAUUGAUAGAAUUGUUAAAAAAAAAUUAAGAAUUAAACAUUUUUUAAAUUGGAAAUAAUGUAAAUUAUCCUAAAAAAAAUUAUAAAAUUAAAACACUAAAAAAUUAUUGAGGAUAUGAAAAAUGUGAGAAAAAGUAUGAAGAUUAUGAGAAAUUCUCACAUUCUUUAUACCUACUUCACAUUCUCCAUAGCCUGAAAUUUAACAAUUUUUCGAUUUUUUUCAAUUUUUUUUCCACUUAAAAAUACAAAUAAUAUUGUUUAUUGAUACUAAUCAAGCUUAGAAAUGAUGAAAAUUAUUUUCAAGAAAAUUAAAAAAUUAAAACACUAAGUAAUUGUAGAAUGUACAAAUAAUAUGAGGAAUGGUACAAAGAAUGUGAGGAAUCCUCAUAUUCUUAGUACUCUUCGUCACAUUCUCUUUACCCUCGAAAAUUUUACAAAUUUUCAAACUUUAAAAUUUUUUUUCCAUAUGGAAAUACAAUAAUAUUAUUUAUUGAUACUAAUUAAGCUUAGAAAUGAUGGAAAUUACUCUUAAAAGAAAUUAAAAAAAUUACUCUUAAAGAAAUUAUGGAAGUUCGUACCCUACAAAGUUCGUACCAUCUCUUACAAAAUUCGUACAAUCUCUUAGAAAGUUUGUACCAUAUCUUAAAAAGUUUGUAUCAUAUCUUACAAAGUUCGUAUCAUCUCUUAAAAAGUUCAUACGCUGUCUUAGAAAGUUCGUAUCAUUUCUUACAAAGUUUCGUACCAUCUCUUACAAAGUUCGUACAUUCUCUUAGAAAGUUCGUACCAUAUCUUACAAAGUUUAUACCCUCUCUUAUAAAGUUUGUACCAUAUCUUAGAAAGUUCGUACCAUGUCUUACAAAGUUCGUACCAUCUCUUAGAAAGUUCGUACCCUAUCUUACAAAGUUCGUACACUCUCUUAGAAAGUUCGUGUCAUUUCUUAGAAAGUUUGUAUCAUGUCUUACAAAGUUCGUACCAUCUCUUACAAAGUUCGUACACUUUAUUAGAAAGUUCGUACACUAUCUUACGAAGUUCGUACCAUCUCUUAGAAAGUUUAUACCAUGUUUUAGAAAAUUCAUACCAUCUCUUAGAAAGUUCGUAUCAUCUCUUAAAAAGUUCGCACAUUCUCUUAGAAAGUUCGUACUCUAUCUUACAAAGUUCAUACCCUUUCUUAGAAAGUCCGUACCUUGUCUUAGAAAGUUUGUACCCUGUCUUAGAAAGUUUGUACCCUGUCUUAGAAAGUUUGUACCCUUUCUUACAAAGUUCGUACCCUUUCUUACAAAGUUCGUACCCUUUCUUACAAAGUUCGUACCAUCUCUUAGAAAGUUCGUGUCAUCUUUUAUAAAGUUCGUACACUCUAUUGGAAAGUUCAUACAUUCUCUUACAAAGUUCGUACCAUCUCUUACAAAGUUCGUACCUUGUCUUAAAAAGUUUGUACCAUGUCUUACAAAGUUUGCACCAUCUCUUAAAAAGGUCGUACACUCUUUUAGAAAGUUCGCACCAUGUCUUACAAAGUUCGUACCAUCUCUUACAAAGUUUGUACCAUCUCUUACAAAGUUCAUAUUAUCUCUUACAAAGUUCAUACCAUCUCUUACAAAGUUCGUACCAUGUCUUACAAAGUUCGUACCAUCUCUUAGAAAGUUCGUAUCAUGUCUUACAAAGUUCGUACCAUCUCUUACAAAGUUCGUACCCCAUCUUACAAAGUUCGUACCAUAUAUUAGAAAGUUCGUACAAUUUCUUAGAAAGCUCGUACAAUCUCUUACAAAAUUUGUAUCAUCUCUUAAAAAGUUUGUACUCUAUUUUACAAAGUUUGUACCAUCUCUUAGAAAGUUCAUACACUUUCUUAAAAAGUCCGUACCCUCUCUUACAAAAUUCGUACUCUCUAUUACAAUGUUCGUACCCUAUUUUAAAAAGUUCGUACUAUCUCUUACAAAAUAUUUAUGACAAUUUCAUAACAAAUGACUAAAUGCUCUCAAUUUGAUUAAUAAUAACUCAUAAAAAAAUUAAAAAAUCUAGAUGUUAUAAAUCAUUACAUAUUUAAAUGUCAUUUAACAUUACAUUUCUACCUACAAUAGUUAUAUGUAAAUGGAAAAAAACUAAAAAUCAAAUGUUACCUUUUAACACUUGUAAUCACUUGACAUCCUUCGUAUAAUGUUUUAUUCAAGACAUAUAAAACUUCAUCUUCAAAUUUAAUAUAUGAAAAAAAAAAUUAUAUAAAAAUAUUAAUAACAAUUUGAUAACAAAAUUUUAUAAUAAACUCAUAAAAAAUUCUAAAAUUGUUAUUUAACAUCACAUUUCUUCCUACAAUAAUUAUAUUUGGAUAAAAAAUAUCAAAUAUUACCUUUGACACUUGUAAUCACUUCAAAUCCUUCAUCUUCUUCGUAUAAUACAAAUUUUAAAAUUUCUCUCUAAAAAAGUUUUAAACUUGAUAUUAAAAUUUGAUUAAUCAAAAUACAUCUUACAUAUUUUGUAAUUUGGUAGUUGCAAUUAUUUAAUUUUCAUAUUAAAUUAUUAUCUUUUUUUUUUUAUAUAUGAAUAAUAAGAGUAUAAGAGUAGUUGGUAGAAUUUUUUUUAGAUAGAGUUAGGUAAUGCAUUAAAUAUAAAUAAUAUUUGAUAUUUAAUAAUAAAUUAUAAAAAAGUUGUAAUAUAUAUAUAUAUGAAAUGUAAGUGACACAAAUAAGUUAUGUUUGAUAAGUUUUUAUAAAUUUUUUAAUGAUAUAUACUUUACACGUGUUAUUUUAUUAUUGAGAUCAAAUGUGGGUGGUUACCGCCCAAAAUGAAGAGUGGUACCAAAGAACAACCCUUUUACAAGACUUGUGUAUUAAUAAUUGACUACAUUUUCACAAUCUUAGCAGAGAAUCAGUGAAAGUCCUCAGCGGGCAUCUAUUCCUGGAAGACCCACUUUCCUCAAAGCCAAAAAGGGAAUGGUUUAUUUGAUUUGUUCACUGGUCAGGUGACAAUCGCGUGCAAACCCAAGCCAUCGUAAUUUUUUAUUUUAUCUAUCCUUUCGGCUGGACCAACCCACGUCCAAUUGUCUAACAAGUAACAACUAAACUCUUAAGGUGGUCCACGCGCUCACAUGCGAUCAAACGUAAUUGUGUUAGUAUAGACGCGCACUGUUUGGUUAGAAUCUCUGUGCGAGACUCACAGUCUGUUAUCCAGAUAUUGCUGUUCCCUGGUCUUCUAUCUACACCUUCGUCUUACCCACUCUCUGUAGGUUUUGGAAAUGGAGAGGUACUUGAAGAAGGACUUUGAUGUACAGUCCAAGCACUCAUCGGAAGCGGCGCUUAGGCGAUGGAGAUCUGCGGUCACAAUCGUCAAGAAUCGCCGGAGACGCUUCCGCGAUGUCGCAAAUCUCCACAUGCGAUCAGAGGCGGAAAAGAAGAAACUCAAAAUCCAGGUUUUAAUUUGUGUGUGUUAUUUUUACUUUUCUAUCUUUUUGGGUCCGUUCGUUUCCUGAGAAACUGAGGAACACAACAACUUGGUGCCUUAUAUCUGAGAUCUAAGGAUUUUAGAGGGGAAAAAUAAACUCAAACCUAAUGUGAAGAGAAGGAAAAAUAUUUGAUUUUGAAUGUUUAAAGAUUUAUCACUGAGGGGGCGACGAUUACAACAUAUAAGUUCGCUGUUUUGUUUUUUUGUUUUUUUUUUAAAAAUUAUUUUUAUUGUAUCGUCUGAAACGAAGAAAACGGAGGAGUAUAGUGCAAAGAUUUGGCGAUUUUUUAACAUCUUAAAUUUAUUUUCUGGCCCUUUUCAUUAGUUUUCUAAACAACCGAACGGGAGUAGGGAAUUCUUAUGAGUCUUAUCUAAAAUAGUAAAAUGCGACGGCUUUGAGAAAAAAUUAUCUGUAAUUUAUUCAAAACUAGGAAACAACGCUCAAGGCUGAGACGAGGCUCCCGUGGGCGCUAUGCUUACGCUGCGGACGUUAGCAAAUAGCAAGGUCCGCUUGGGGCAAUCUUGAAGAUUUUCAAAAAGUGGCUUCCGGAUUCGGACCGGUUGCAAGUUCAGCCAAUCACGUCUCAAGUUUCGCUGCCUAGAGGUCCACCCAUAGGAUGUAAAAAUUCUUAUAAUACAUUUUAAAAAAAAUAAUCUUUUGGAAAAAACAAAAAAAUGUCUAUUUUUAUCUGUCUAAAGACUCUAAACCCUUCUUAAAAGCUUUUUAUUUUUAUUUUUUAUGAAGGCAACAAAGCCUUUAUGGGCAUGAAAAAAUAAUGCGUUCCCAGUAGCAGUAGUAGGAUCCCCACUCACUGUUUCUUGGCCCGCUGCCGACUAUCAACGACAGAACAAGAGUCACGCAGUUUUCUGCUAUCAACGUCUAUAACUCUGGCGAGUUCUCUAGAGGAGCUUGACAGGUAUGAUUAUUAUAUAGUUAGAAUCACCCAGUUUUCUGCUAAAUGUGGGAGAGACUGGAGGGAGAGUUGCGGUAGCCAGGAAGGAUAGGGACAUCGAUUCUUCUUUUGUUUCUGGGGUUCUUUUCUAAAAUUGUAUUGCCUGUCAACGGUGCAGAGAAAAAGAGAGUAAUAAUUAAGAGCGAGAGUAUUUCUCUUUUGACCCGCAGAAGCUGUAAGCUGCCAUCCUCCGGAGUGAUUUAAAAUUUUUGGAUCGAACUUAAAAAGGACGAUUCAGUACACAUGUUUUGACUAAAUCUGAAUAAAACCACAAUCUCUCAUUCAUUUUCCCGAGAUUAAGUCAUCGGAGAAAAUUGAUUCCUAUUUGUCUGCUUCUCUUGCUUUGGCUGUUACCUACGAAUAUACUUGGGGAUUUUUUAAGAGGGUUUGUUUUAUGUUUUAUAUUUUUUUAAAAACUAGAUGCCAAUUUCAAAAGCCGAUUUUUUAUCUUCCAGCCCUGGCAACCAAGGAAACUUCCACGAACCUUCCGAUGGUAUAGUCAAGCAAAGUGAUGAAAAGGUACGUAGGAGGUGGCUUGGCCGGCAAGUUUCCAGGAGUAAACGUUGACAUUUAAUUCCAAACCAAUAAUUCAAUGCAAAAGGCAACUAAGGAAAGUUCCUUGAACCUUCGGCUGUUAUAAUCACAUGAGUUGGACGGACGUAUAAAUAAUAAAUAAGGAAAAUGAGAGCAAUAAAAAACAGGUGUCCGUGGUCCAUAAGCAUUACGAAGCCUUUUCCCUGUCUAUUUGCUGUGAAAAGGUUAUUGUCACUUCGUAUCCUCCCACACACCAAUUUGUAUUUUAUUGAUCAUCUAUUCCUUAGCUUCCAAUCUGCUGCUGUCCUACUCUCAGCAUUUUGAGACACCAAUUGUACAGAUUAGAGACAAGAGAUUGCCCAGUCAAUUAUAUUAUGAUCUUGUUGUUUUAAUUCCCAAAGGUUUCAUGUCGAUAUUUUCAGCAUUAAAGAGGAGGGGAAAAAAGGAGGGAAAAAAAAUAGAGCAUUUUGUGCGACGGAUGAAUUAAAUUUACUAAGAUUAGCUCUAUCUAAUGAAUGUAGCAUGCCAUGUAAUUUAAUUUAAUUAUGGAGCACUGUGAGACAUGGUGUCUUACUCCCUUCUCUUCAUCCAAUCGUCGCAGGAGGACCUAAUUAAAUUUUCAGGUGGAUUUAUUUGAAAAUUAUGCCCUCCUAUAUUCCCUUUGACUGAUGUUACCUGGAAAAAAAGAGGCCAAUGAAGUAUAUGGGCAAGUCUCUAUGCAUUAAAUAAAUUACCUAUAUCCCUCACUCUUUGUAGUGAGAAUAAUGUAAUGGAAACUCGGUCUUUUUGUCCUACAUGCUGAUUUCCUUCAUAGAGGGAGAGUGAAAUUGUGCCAGUUUUGUCCACCCGCGUCUUUUUGGCUUCAACUCUAAUGGUCCUGCCCCAUGCUAGAACAAAUAAUUAUAAAGAUAUGUGUGUGAAUAGGUUUUUUUGGUAAUUUAUGUUUUGCAUAAAUUGUUGUACUAAUGUGACCACUACCAUUAUGUGCAGCAUGUUGCAAAUGCUAUAAUGCCAAAAAGUUUCUUAGAGGUUAAAUUAUGGUGUUUCAAAUUUUAUUCACCCAUUUUAUAUUAUGUCACUUCUCCACACGAAAUUUUUAGCUAUAGUGUGCAUGCACAUUCAUUAGUUUAAAAUGAAAUGUACAUUCUAUUUUGUUUUCUUGCUUAGGUAAUCAUAUGCAGCAAAUGUGUUCACCGUAUACAUAUUUUCAUUUUGCUGAGACUUUGUGCGGAGGUGUUUGUAGUGUUGGGACUUGGGAGGUCUUUCUCAUCCUUUAGUUUGUACUUGCUAUUUUAUUAUGGUGAAAUGGUUGUUUCUUAUAAUGAAAAAAAAAGGCACAUUCAUAAAAUAAAGAUAAAGUUAUAACAAUAAUGCCUAGUACAAAAAUUGACAAGUUUUAGCAAUGAUGCACAUCAUGUGAUUGUCAAUAAGCAAUAAUGUACAAUCACGAAGUAAUGACCGUAUGGUGAAAUUUUCAAAUGGUUAUGCUAUUUCAAAUAACCCCACUCUUAGCUACACUAGAUGGUUCAACUUCUUUAAAAUUGUGUUUGCAUGUGCUAUAAAUUACAUGGUGUGAAGUCAUGCAAUGAUGUUUGUCAUUCCCAAUUUCUUUGCUAGGGACAAGGCAUUUGUGGGCUUUCACAUUGGUGUAUCACAGGUUUUUUUAAAAGCAAAAUUAUUCUUGUAGCUAUUAUUCUCUCUUCUCAUUUCUUAUUCCCAUCCUCCACGACAGAGAGAAUCCCACUGCUUGGGCACAAUUUCUUUGCUAAGAACCAUGCGCUUACAGGCUUUCACAUUGGUGUAUUACAAGCUCAUUUAAAGAGCAAAUUCUUCUCAUUUCUUACCUCCACCCCCCAACAACAGAGAAACACUCUCCCACUGCUUUGACACAACUUCUUUGUUGUCUAGGGGCAUCUUAAAGUUAAUCCUAGCAUACAGAGAAUCGGUUCACAAAUUAAAUCAUUAUGAAUAAUUGUACCUGUGAAAAGAAAGAAAAGGGAGAAUCCCUAAUUUUUGUUAUUGAAAAACUAUUAAUAAUACACAUUGGACUUAGGUAUAUAUAUAUACAUGUUAGUAGGACCCCCAAUACAAUAAGGAAAGAAAAGGAAAAGGAAAAGUUAAUAACCUAAAUAACUGUACACUAUCUAACACUCCCCCUCAAGCUGGAGCAUAUAUGUUAUAUGCACCAAGCUUGUUACAAAUGUAUUUAAUUUUAGGACCUUUGAGAGAUUUAGUAAAAAUAUCUGCUAGUUGAUCAUUUGAAUUGACAAAACUAGUCGCCACACAUCCUGAUGCGAUCUUCUCUCUAAUGAAAUGACAGUCAAUUUCAAUGUGUUUGGUCCUUUCAUGGAAGACUGGAUUUGAUGCAAUAUGCAAAGUGGCUUGGUUGUCACAGAUGAGCUUCAUCUGUUUUUCCUUUCCAAAUCUCAACUCCCGAAGAAGAUGUUUCAGCCAUAUGAGUUCACAUGUUGCUAGAGCCAUAGCUCGAUACUCGGCUUCAGCACUAGAUCUGGCCACUACAUCUUGUUUCUUACUCUUCCAAGAUAUUAGGUUACCUCCAAUAAAAACACAAUACCCGGAAGUGGAACGUCUAUCUGUGAGUGAGCCAGCCCAAUCUGUAUCUGUGUAACCAACAACCUGGGAAUAACCUUUGUUCUCGUACAACACACCUUGGCCUGGUGUGUUUUUGAUAUAUCGAAGAAUACGGAUUACAGCAUCCUAAUGGCUAUCACAUGGUGAUUGUAGGAAUUGACUAACAACACUUACAGGAAAAAAAAUGUCUGGACGAGUAAUGGUGAGGUAGUUUAGUUUACCUACAAAUUACCAAUAUCUCCCAGGAUCUCCUAAAGGCUCCCCCUGUCCUGGUAUAAGUUUGACAUUUGGAUCCAUAGGAGUGUCUACCGGUUUACAGUCUAACAUACCGGUUUCUUCGAAGAUGUCUAAAACAUACUUUCUUUGGGAAAGAACCACACCGGAACUGGAUUAAGCUAUCUCAAUCCCUAAGAAAUACUUGAGUUUCCCCAAGUCUUUAGUCUGAAAGUGGGUGAAAAGGUGUUGCUUUAGUUUCUGAAUAUCAUUCUGAUCACUGCCUGUAAUGACGAGGUCGUCCACAUAAACUACCAGAUAAAUACACUGCCCCGAAAAGUUAUGAUGAUAAAAAACGGAAUGGUCUGUUGUACUGUGAAACAUGCCAAACUCCUGAACAACAGAACUAAAACGGCUAAACCAUUCUCGAGGAGAUUGUUUCAAGCCAUAUAGAGAACGGCGUAACCUGCACACUAAACCAGACUCCCCCUGAGCAACAAAAUCAGGUGGUUGCUCCAUAUAAACUUCCUCAGCAAGAUCCCCAUGAAGGAAAGCAUUUUUAAUAUCUAACUGAUAAAGAGGCUAAGAACGCAUAGCAGCCAUUGAGAGCAAUAGACGAACAAAAGCUAUCUUAGCAACAGGAGAGAAAGUGUCACCAUAAUUAGAACCAUAAACCUGAGUAUAGCCUUUAGCAACUAAGCGGGCCUUAAAGCGAUCAACCUAACCAUCAGGGCAAACCUUAACUAUGUAGACCCAACGACAACCAAUUGUAGAUUUACCAGAGGGUAAAACAAUAAGAUCCCAAGUGCCAUUGGAGUGUAAAUCAACCAUUUCAUCUACCAUUGCCUGUCGCCAGCCUGGAUGGGAAAGAGCCUCAGGGGUGCUCUUGGGAAGAGAAACAGAAGAUAUAGCAGAAACAAAUGCAGAAUAGGGUGAAGAUAAUCGAUGGUAACUCAAAAAAUUGUAAAUGGGAUGAGGAUUACAAGUAGAUCGAUUACCUUUCCGAAGAGCAAUGGGUCAGUAAGCAGAAGGAGGCAGAGCCGGGGCAGGAGAAGCCGAAGGGAUAGGAAGUGAGUUAGCAGGUACCUCGGCCAAAGAAGGAGGAACAGCGACACGAUGACGGCGAUGAUAAACCUAAAGUGGGCGAGAAGGCACUGCAUUAAGUGGGGAGAUAAUGGGAAGGGUAAGACUUCAGAAACAGGAAGAGAUUCAGAGGUGGAGAAGAACAGUGAGUCCUCAAAGAAAGUGACAUCAGCAGAGAGAAAGUAGCGAUGAGUCUCAGAGGAAUAACAACGAUAACCCUUUUGAAGUCUGGGAUAUCCCAAGAAGAUGCAUUUUGUGGCUUUGGCAUAAAGUUUGUCCUGUCCAGGAGUGAGAAUAUGAACAAAGCAAGUACAACCAAAAACACGAGGAGGAAGGAAAUAAAGUGGUUGGUCAGGGAAAAGAAGGGAAUGAGGAAUCUAAUUGUGUAAUACAGAUGAGGGCAUACGAUUAAUCAAAUAACAUGUUGUAAGAACUGUGUCCCCCCAAAAACGAAAAGAAACAUUACUAUGGAGAAGGAGAGCACGAACUGUCUCAACAAGAUGUCGAUUCUUACGUUCAGCUACCCCAUUUUGUUGAGGAGUAUGAACACAAGAAGAUUGAUGAAUGAUCCCAUGUUGGGACAUAAAUGAAGUAAAUGGUGCAAAAAAAUAUUCCCUGGCAUUGUCAUUGCGCAACACACGAAUAGAAAUAUUGAACUAGGUUUGGAUUUCAGCAUAAAAUUUCUGGAAAAUAGAGAAUAACUCAGCUCGAUUUUUCAUUAAAAAUAACCAAGUAUAUCGAGAAUAGUCAUCAAUGAAAGUGAUAAAAUACUGAAAUCCUAAGUUAGAUGCGGUCCGACAAGGACCCCAAACAUCAGUGUGGACAAGUUCAAAAGGAGACUUUGCCCGAUUAUUCAAACGCUUUAGGAACGAGACACGAGUAUGUUUCCCAAGCUGACAGGACUCACACGCAAGCGACGACAAAGAUGAAAAACGAGGGACCAUUUUUUGGAACUUGGAUAGACUAGGGUGGCCUAAGCGAUUGUGGAUGAGGAGGGGAGCAUUAGUGGAAAUGCAAACUGCAGGAGUUGAAGGCGAGGUGAGGUGAUAGAGGCCUUGAGACUCACGUCCUAUGCCAAUCGUCUUCCCCGUACUCCGGUCCUGCAAGGUCACAAAUUUAUCAGAGAAAGUGAUAGAACAGUUAAGAGUGCGAGUUAUUUUGUUGAUGGAAAUAAGAUUAAAAGGACACUCAGGGGCAUAAAGGACAGAAUGGAGAGGUAGGGAAGGGAGAGGAUGAGCGAAACCAAAACCUUUAGCCAUAGUUUGGGAACCAUUAUGUCACAGGAUGCUUCAAAUGACCCUCCCCAUGGGCUUAUAUAGGAGGAGGGAAGCUUCUAGAGACUCCUGGAGCCAUCUACACUAAGCCAUUGGUGGGAAGAGUGUGGAAGGUUCUAGAAAUGCCUAGAGAUGUCCACACAUCUCUACACUAUGGAGGAAGGCAUGAGAGGAGUCCAAGGCUUUCUAGAGACUUCUAAGAAUCUCUUGUAUAUUCUUGUACAUAGGGUUGUACAUAGAAUAGGGUAGGAUGUUUUAGAAUAUUCUUGAUUUGUAAGGAACCCUCCAAGGUUCCAGAGAGUUCCUUUGGUGCCUAUAAAUAGGUGAGGGCCUUAUUUGGCCAAGGCACCACCUAAAUCACUUCCUAACCAAGCAAGUGAGCUUCCAAGCACUUGUAAAAGCUUCUUUGAGUAAUAAAGAGCUUCCAUUCUUUAAGGAGUUGCCUACCAAGCUUCUUAAGCUUUUGAGUCGCGAGUGUUUUAGCCGAGCGAGCUAAGUAUUGGGAGCAAGGCUGACUUAGCAAGAUCGAGCGUCUUGGCUUGUCUAAGUGCCGCAUGAGCUUAGUGAACGACUAAGUCCGUGACAAUUAGCUAAAGUAAUAGUAGGUAAGGCAGAGGUAGUAGUAAUAGAAGAGAAGAGAUCCUUAUUACCAGAUAUGUGAUCAGAAGCGUCAGAAUCUAGAAUCCAAGGUCCAAGAGAAGAUGUGUGGGUAAGAUAGGCAGAAGCAUUACCAGUCUGGGCAACAAAAGCAACAGAAGCUGACUUGGUGGUCUGAUAGCAGAGAUAGUCAUCAUACUCACUGUCAGUGAGGGAAAUACCCUGAGAUGUGGAGGAACUGGGAGGCUAAGGCGACUGAGGAUCAGAUGACUGGGCCACGUGGGCAGUGUGGGAAGGCCGCCCAUGUAACUGAUAACACCGAUCACGAGUAUGGCCAAACUUAUUGCAAUAGGUGCAAUGAGGACGUUGACCUCUACCUCGGUUACCACUGCGUCCUCCUCGAGAGUUAGUUUGAGAAACUAACACAGAAGAAUCUGAAGUGUUAUCAGAUGGCAAAGUCUGAGUGGAGGAGAUACGGAGGAGGCGAGCAAACACAUCAUCCAAGGAUGGAACGGAGGAACUACCAAUAAUCUGAUCGCUGAUGGUCUCGAGAUUUGGACGGAAGCUAAUAAGCAUAAGAACCAUGAAGAACUUGUCAAUCUGUGUUCGUUGAUCCCCAACAUCAGUAGUAAGAGGCAUCACGAUCAAGAAUUCCUCCUUAAAAGAGGCAAUCUGGCCAAUAUAAGUAGAUAAAUCCAUGUCUUGUUGUCUGACAUUGACAAUAGAAGAAGCCACCUUAUAAAGACGUUGGAUAUCAUUCGUGUAUAGCCCUUUCACCUGAUUCCAAAAUUUAAAGCAUGUUUUGUAGGCCCAAAGAUGAAGCAGAAUCUUAGGAUCAACUGAUUGCCAUAACACACUACAUAACUGUGCAUCUAUCUUCCUCCAUUGUACUCUGUCAAUCUCAGGGAUAUCCGCCUCUUGUGUAACAAGAUGAUCCUCAUAACCUUGACCCAUAAACCAAAGCUCCACAGAGGUAGAUCAGGACAAAUAAUUUUCACUGCCAACCAAUUUCUCCGAAGUAAUCAUAGGAGAUCCAGAUAUGACAGAGGAAAAAGUGGAACUUUUAGUAGCCAUAUCUACUUAUCUGGAGAAUGAAAUAUGUUUGGAUCGAAGAGAGCCCUAAUGCGGCUUCAGAUCACGGUUGAAAGAAGAAAAACCGAGGAUCCGCGGCUGUGAGAAACCAAAUAGUAAAGAAAAACAAAUGUGGCACUACUGGAAGGGUAGAAGAACACUUCCUAAGACACGUGCAGGGCUCAGGGUGGAGAGGAAGUCACCGGAGGUCGUCGAAAAGGCUGAUUAGAGGGCCGACGGAAACAAAAACCUCCCAAAAAAUGCACUUUCAGGGCUCAUAUGGCACAAACACAGAUGGAGGGUGGCUAGACGGUGUCAAGCGAGGCUAGAGGUGGAAGAGCGUGGCUGGAAAGUGCUCCACGCGCCCUCACGCGCCGGCGCGUGAGGUUCAGGCCGCCAGAGAAGAAACGCGCGUGGCCGGCGCGUGGCUGAGAAUCUCCCUCUGGUGCUUUGAGAAAACUUGAAGAUCUCCUCCUUGCGCUCCUAAUGGUAUGGUCGGUGUCGGAAAAGGACUUCGCCGGAAAAAGGUCGCCGGAAAAGUCGUCGGCGGUGAGGGUUUUCUGACGGCGAUAUGGUUGAUCGGAAAGCUUUAGGAGAUGGGAAAGGUGACCGGAAUGAAACACGGUCAUUGAAAGAUUUCCCAGUGGAUUCACGGAUAAACCGGAAAUAAUUAGGGUUUUUUUUCUCCCUAGGUUCUGAUACCAUGUGAAAAGAGAGAAAAGGGAGAAUCCCUAAUUUUUGUUAUUGAAAAACUGUUAAUAAUACACAUUGGGCUUGGGUAUAUAUAUAUAUACAUGUUAGUGGGACCCACAAUACAAUAAGAAAGGAAAAGGAAAAGGAAAAGUAAAUAACCUAAAUAACUGUACACUAUCUAACAGUACCCAACUCAGGGCCAAAUGUACUCAUAAUAAAGAUCAUCAGUUGCUUGGUCUGCAAAAUUGAUUCUAGACAAUUUACAAGCUUUGAAACCAUAGUGAACCAUGCAUCAAGUGCUUACUUAAAUUUUUACUUGUGAAUAAAACAUCUGCCGAAAAUAAAUCAAUAAAUAAACUGAAGCGCUUUUAUUGCUGUUUGAAAUAUUGUGCAUGGUUUGAAUCAUAAUAUCAAUGAUGUUUCAGGACAUUAAACCUAUUUUGACAAGCCUAGCUUCUGUGUUUGGAAAUAAUGAUUCAUUUUCUUUGAGGCAUGGAACCAAUCUCUUCCUGCAAUUUUUUGUUCUAUUAUCCUAAUCAUUGGGGACAGAAUGCUUUCUGAAUUCUCAUCAAUAUAUUUUUGAGGAUAGUUUUAGCCUCACACUAUAGAUAUCCCUGGAAAUCAGAAUGCAGUACAGUUUGACAUAGUUCAGAACAAUUUAUUUAAUAGCUUCAUGGAAAUGGAGUGACUGUUUAGUAUUUGUUUAUCUGCUUUGAUUGCAUGAGAUGGUAGAUAUAACAACAUAGGUCAAUGAUUGCAUAUUGUUUGCAAAGUCACCAAUUCCUACUGCAGUGACUAAUCAUUUUUUAACUUUGCGUACCCUAUUAUACUACUUUAUUUUAACAGGAAAAAAUUCGAGUUGCUCUUUAUGUUCAAAAGGCGGCACUGCAGUUUAUUGAUGGUAUGAGCUUCCUGUGAUUUGGUUCACUGAAAUCAUAUUUCUUGUCAAUUUCUUCUGUUUCCUGUCUCAGAUAAGUUUGUGUUUUGCAGCUGGUGGUCGAGUUGACCACGGGCUCUCAGAAGAGGCAAGGGAAGCAGGCUUUGGUAUUGACCCAGAUGAACUUGCCUCCAUAGUUCGUGGCCAUGAUAUCAUGGGCUUGAAAGCCCAUGGUGGACUCGAAGGACUUGCAAGGAAAGUUCAUGUUUCACUUGAUGAAGGUGUGAAAUCAAGUGACAUAGCUAUGAGGCAAAAUAUCUAUGGCCUCAACCGUUACACUGAGAAACCUUCAAGAACUUUUCUAAUGUUUGUGUGGGAUGCACUGCAUGACUUAACACUAAUCAUCCUUAUGAUUUGUGCUGUGAUUUCUAUAGGAGUAGGCCUUCCCACUGAAGGAUGGCCAGAGGGUAUGUAUAGUGGGGUAGGAAUCCUAGUUAGUAUAUUUUUGGUAGUCCUGGUUACUGCAAUCAGUGACUAUAGACAAUCUCUGCAAUUCAGGGAUCUGGAUAAGGAAAAGAAAAAGAUUUUUGUCCAGGUCACUAGAGAUGGAUAUAGACAAAAAAUUUCUAUUUAUGACUUGGUUGUUGGAGAUAUUGUUCAUUUAUCUAUAGGAGACCAAGUUCCUGCUGAUGGGGUUUUUAUAUCAGGAUACAGCUUGUUGAUUGAUGAGUCAGGCAUGUCUGGGGAGAGUGAACCAGUCCACAUAUCCGAAGAAAAACCGUUUUUUCUUUCAGGAACUAAAGUGACAGAUGGUUCAGGGAAGAUGCUGGUGACUACGGUUGGUAUGAGGACUGAAUGGGGAAAGUUAAUGGAAACUCUGACUGAGGGUGGGGAUGAUGAGACCCCGCUUCAGGUGAAGCUGAAUGGUGUUGCUACAAUUAUUGGUAAGAUUGGUUUGGCUUUUGCUGUGCUGACUUUUGUGGUCUUGGUUGUAAGGUUUCUCGUGGAAAAAGCACUUCGCAAAGAGUUCACAGAUUGGUCUUCAAGUGAUGCACUGACACUUCUGAACUAUUUUGCUAUUGCGGUAACUAUAAUUGUUGUUGCUGUUCCAGAAGGAUUACCAUUGGCAGUGACUUUGAGCCUUGCCUUUGCAAUGAAAAAAUUAAUGAAGGAGAAGGCACUUGUGAGACAUCUAUCUGCAUGUGAGACAAUGGGUUCUGCUAGUUGUAUUUGCACAGAUAAGACAGGAACAUUAACUACAAAUCACAUGGUAGUUCAUAAGAUAUGGAUCUGUGGAAAAGCUGAAGAGAUAAAAGGUAGUGAGAGUGCAGAUGUAUUGAAAUCAGAAAUAUCUGGAAGAGUUUCAAGCAUCCUUUUGCAGGCUAUAUUUCAAAAUACCAGUUCUGAGGUGGUCAAGGACAAAGAUGGAAAGAAUACCAUCUUAGGAACACCAACUGAGUCAGCAUUGCUAGAGUUUGGUUUGCUUUUAGGUGGUAAUUUUGAUGCACAACGCAAAGAAAAUAAGAUAGUUGAAGUUGAGCCUUUCAAUUCUGUCAAGAAGAAGAUGUCUGUGCUUGUGGCUCUUCCUGAUGGCAGAAUCCGAGCUUUUUGUAAAGGUGCAUCUGAGAUAAUCUUAUCCAUGUGCAACAAGAUUGUUAAUUAUGAUGGAGAAUCUAUUCCUCUCUCGGAAGUACAGGAAAGGAAUAUUACUGAUAUUAUAAAUGGUUUUGCAUCUGAAGCCUUGAGAACCCUCUGCUUGGCUUUCAAAGAUGUGGAUGAUCCUUCCAAUGAAAACGACAUCCCAACUUAUGGCUAUACGUUGAUAAUGGUUGUUGGGAUUAAGGAUCCAACACGUCCUGGGGUCAAAGAUGCUGUUCAAACUUGUUUAGCAGCUGGAAUUGCUGUCCGGAUGGUCACUGGUGACAAUAUAAACACAGCCAAAGCUAUAGCUAAAGAAUGUGGCAUACUAACAGAGGAUGGUUUGGCCAUAGAAGGACCUGAAUUUCACAGCAUGAGUCUUGAGGAGAUGAGGGAAAUAAUACCAAGAAUUCAGGUUUGCGAUUAAUUAAUUAAAAAAAAUUUAAGCUUCAAACAUGUGUUUGAGAGAUGCAUUAACUGACAAAAAUUGCUCGGUAUGGACACAGGUCAUGGCUCGGUCUUUGCCUUCAGACAAGCACACUUUGGUAACCCAUCUCAGGAAAUUGUAUGGUGAGGUUGUUGCAGUGACAGGUGAUGGGACAAAUGAUGCACCAGCUUUGCAUGAGGCUGACAUUGGGCUUGCCAUGGGCAUAGCUGGAACAGAGGUUUGCUUAUCCGACCAUCUUAUGUACUAGUCAUCUGUUUUUACUGCCCUUAUCUGUUGUCUUUCUUCUUGGUUGCACAGUUAUUUUUUAGUUUUUUGAUAAGUUUCUUGGUCGCACAGUUAUGAAUGUUUCUUCAUUCUAUUCAUCAACUUACAUUUGCUUGACUUUGGAAAUCAUCUUCCAAUACCAUGAAAAUCUUCUUCCUACUCUAUAAUAUUUUAUAUGCAAUAGGGUGAUAUUAAAAUAGAAGUUUCGUAUGGUCAUUAAUAACUCAUUUUUCUAACAGUUAUUUAUUGAUAGGCGAAUCUUUCUCUACUAAUUAAUAAAAGAAAAAUGAAUCUAAUAUGCAACAUGCAUGAAUCUUAUUAACUUCUUAAUAAGGAGUUUUUAGGUUUUGGUUUGAGGUAGUCUUUCUUCAAUUUAUCUCACUUCCCAAGAUCCUCUACCAGUUAGGAUCUGAUUCAUCUAAUUGAUUUUCAUCACACCCCUGUGAGUCAGAAUAAAAUUCAUCCAAAUUAUCUAUACAUUGUUCUUUUUCUUUUUCUUCAUUUUUUCCCUUUUUUUUAUUGAUAAGAAUUUUCAGCUAUGUAAUUUUAUGUGAUUAAUGACUUUAUGCUGUGUAAUGUUCCACUUCUAAGCCUUUUUUUAUGCUAAUACCGUAUGUGGAAAGAAAGGCCAUGAAAAACUGGACCAUGUACCUUUCCAACCUUUGCCCCACUCAGUCAUCUUGCAAGCCCCCACCUCAAUAGGUAGUGUGCCUCUUUUCUCAUUAAAAGCACACUUUGACUAGGCUUCCUAUUUAUUGUAUGUCAUUAUUAGUGACUCCAAGAAGGGUUAGUUUAAAACCUAAGAAAAUCCAUAGAGAUUUCCUAUGGGGUGGUGGAACUUUAGAGAAAAAACUUCAUCUGGUCAGUUGGUCUAGAGUGGAUACUAAAAAAGCGGGUUGGCCAUUGAGAAUCUCUCUGCUCUCACUACUAUGUUGUAGGGCAAGAUGAGUGGGAGAUUUGUCUCAAAAAAUGAGUCAAUGUGGAAGCAAGUGAUAGUUGGGAAGUUUGGGGAGGAAAGGAGGUUGGAGUUUGUGGGUGCUUAGGGAGGGUUAUGGUGUUGGUUUUUGGAAGGAUAUCAAGAAAAAGUGGAAGGUCUUUAAAAGCAAAGUUUUCUUCAUUGUUGGGAAUGGAAGAACCAAGUUUUGGUUGGACAAUUGGUGUCUCGCCAUUUCUAAAAGACUAUUUUCUCACCUUAUUUUCCAUUAGCAACUCAAAGGACUCAUCGGUUGUAGGUAUGUGGGAGCAAGAUGAGGAGGUGGGUCAUUGGAGUCCCUGUUUCUCAUGACACUUCCAUGAUUAGGAGUUAGAGGUGGUGGAGGCCUUCCUUCAAAAAAUUCAAAAGCUUUUAGUAAGGUGGGAUGUAGGAGAUAGAUUGGCCUAGUCAGUUUCAAGGAAUGGAAAGUUCUCAGUUGAAGUUUUCUACUCAUUUCUGGUGCCAAGGGGUUCAAAGGCUUUCCCAUCUGGGGUUAUUAUUUGGAAUUCAUGGAUCUCGAUGAGAGUUGGUUCUUUUUGCAUAGGAAGCAACAUGGGGAAGGAUUUUGACAUUGGACCAUUUGGAAAGAAGAGGGGGGUCUUUAGUAAAUAGAAGCUAUGUGUAAAUGAGAGGAGGAAUCCAUUGAUCACUUGCUUCUCCAUUGUGUUACAGCUGGAAUUUUGUGGCAGUUGGUUUUUUCUCUAUUCGGGUUGCAGUGAGUGAUGCAUUCUUCAAUUUAUCGGAUGUUGUUAAGUUGGAACUUGGAAUGGGUUUUAGAUACGAAAAAGGAGGAAGAGAGCUCAGUUGGCUGCCCUGCUGUGUAUUUUCUGGACCAUUUGGCGGGAAAGAAAUCAGAAUGCAUUUGAAAAUGUGGAAGUAUCAGAACAAUCACUAAAAUCCUCUUUUUUGCAUAACUUUGUGGAACGUGUUAUGCUUCAUACCAAAGGAAAUACUGUCUAUGGUCAAUUUUGUUGAUUGGUUAAGAAACAAGUAGAUGUGGGCUGGUUUUUUGUCCUUUGAUUUGCCUUCUUUCAUUGUCCUGUUCGGGUGGCGCCCUCAGUAUGCUAUUUGUCUACUUUGGCAUGCCCUAGCACUUUCAUUUUGUAUUAUCUUUAUGUUUCUAUUAGUACUAUUUUCUGUGUGCUUAUAAAAAAAUGGUUCUUUUUGUUUUUUUCAAAUUUGUUGCAUGUUCCGUACCCUUCUGUUUGCUCUACCUGAGAAAUUUGUUACCUGCUAUUAAGAGCAAGUUUUUAUGCAAGAAUGGCUAGUAUCAUAUUCAAAUAAUUAAACAAAAACAAAAUGUAUUUACUGAUUAUCAGCAGAAUCUUGCUAAAAGAGUGCCAACUCGUCACUCAUUCAGUGUUGAAAAGCAUGGUCUUGGAAGUAAAAGCUAUAAAUUUUUGUUAGUUGGGGCUAACAGAAGAGCACCGUUCUACUUUUCCGAAAAUUGAAACUUAAUGUAGUCUUUUAGCUUUCCAGCAUAUGAAUGGUAUCAUUUGGGGUGUAGGUCUAUUACACCUUUGGACUUGUAGGAUGCAACCUGUCCUGCUACUUAUUCCAGUGCUAUUCCUGCUUUUGCAUUAUUCUUGAACUUACCCAUAUAUACAUGGUAUGUUAUCUAUAGGUUGCCAAAGAAAAUGCUGAUGUCAUCAUAAUGGACGAUAAUUUUGCCACUAUAGUAAAUGUAGCCAAAUGGGGCCGUGCAGUAUAUAUAAACAUUCAAAAGUUUGUGCAGUUCCAGUUGACCGUUAAUGUGGUUGCGCUUGUAGUAAAUUUUGUUUCUGCGUGCAUCACAGGUGCGUUGGCCCAUGGAGCUAGUCUUUUCAUUUCAUGUAGUGCUCUUAUUUGUACUUUUGCAUAAUAUGCCAAUCAACAACAGCAGCAAUAAUGAUAAUAAUAAUAAUGAUAAGGAUCUUUGAAACAACAUUCAGGAUCUGCCCCCUUUACGGCUGUCCAGUUGCUUUGGGUCAACUUGAUUAUGGACACUCUCGGUGCAUUGGCAUUGGCGACAGAACCUCCAAACGAUGCACUAAUGAAAAGGCCUCCUGUUGGGAGGAGUGUGAGUUUUAUCACCAAGACCAUGUGGAGGAAUAUUAUCGGUCAGAGUAUAUAUCAACUGAUCGUCAUCGGAGUCAUCAGUGUUUAUGGGAAGCGGCUUUUAAGACUUAGUGGUUCAGAUGCGAGUGAUAUCAUUGAUACUUUCAUAUUCAACACCUUUGUGUUCUGCCAGGUAUCAUUUAUUAUGUAUGGUUAUUGUUGAUUUGUCUCAUCCUUGUUUCUGAAUUCUGAUAUACCUUGUCAGCAUUUCAUGUCUUUAAACUCUACCAACAUAAUUGGUGUUUCUUCUUUGAUCCACUCUGCAGCUGUUCAAUGAAAUAAACAGCCGUGAUAUUGAGAAGAUAAACAUUUUUCGUGGUAUGUUUGACAGCUGGAUAUUUAUCAUAGUCAUGGUCUGCACAGUGGCAUUCCAAAUAAUUAUAGUUGAGCUCCUGGGCACCUUUGCAAGCACUGUGCCCCAAAGUUGGCAACUAUGGAUAUUGAGCAUCUUGAUCGGAGCGGUAGGCAUGCCUGUUGCAGUUGUUUUAAAAUGCAUCCCAGUUGAAACAGGCAGUUUUAAGCAGCAUGAUGAUUACGAGGCACUACCUAGUGGACCAGAACAGGCAUGAGGAGAAAGAUUUCUAAUGCCGUGAUUCUGAGCUCUGGUAAGAAAUAGUGAAGGUGAAUUGGGUAGAGUGGUUAGGCGUGCUUCACAUGUAUUUGAGGGAAAGCAAAACAAAGGUGAAUACAUCACGCCAUGCCUUUCUUCUUUGUUUUGUUUUCCCUCAAAAACAUGUAAAAUAAGCACUAUACUUAUUUCACCUCCGCCACCUUCUCUCCAGAGCUCAGAAACAGGAACUAGAAAAAUCAACCCAACCCUACAUCACACAAUAUUGGUCUUUUCUUACUUCCCUUUGUUUUCUCUCAAAUAUAUGUGAAACAGGUCAAUUAAAAUUCUAUCCCAACACCCAUUGAAGUAGUUCUAUCUCUUGAUGUUCAAAAUGCUAUUGUAAGUUCCUAACAAACUAGAGCUUCCGGUUCAUUUGGAUUGCAGUUGUUCCGCUGUUCCUUGUUGCCUGCCACUGCAGGAAGCAAUUUUGUUCAAGCAUUUGAGGAUUUUCAGUAUAAUAAAAUUUUGUUGUGACUUAACAUUUAACAAUAGUAUGUUAUUAUCAAUUUUGAAAUCGCCAUUUGAAGGUUGGAGUAUGAAUGUCAUGCUUUCCGGUCAAAAAUAUGUGAAUGCGAUUCUAAACUGUCAGAUACUUAUCCCAGUGGUUUUUACUUUUUAUUCCAUCUUCUGAUUUGCCUAUAGGCUAUAGGCUGAUAUGUGAUGCACUGACCUGACCAGUUGAUGGAGAAAAAUUACACAUUACAAACGAUUUUAAAUGUCAUUUUCAUUCUCCAUUACUACCUAUCGGGAGUUUAGAACACUAAUAUAAAGUGUAUGUAAUUUGUUGUUAGAAAAAAUCCCAAAACAAAUACAUAAAUCCGAGAGAAAGAAGAUUACAAUUAGGUUUUUCCCUGAAAAUUGAAACAGCCGGGUGAAAGUCCCUAAUUUACAUGGAACACGGAGAGUAUGGACUGAACUAAUGGGACCUUUUAUGAAUCUCCAGGGCGAAUGGUCCUCUCUCUCUCUCUCCCUCGCUAUCUCCCUAUGUGUUUCUUCCACAAGGUUAGACACUGUAUUAUUGUCUAUAAAACGGAAACAGGGUCCGAAUACCCCCUAAGAAAAGCUCGUCAAUUAGCGAUUCGGUGUUGGCAUUAACUCCAGGACCGUUAUCUGUGUUGGCGUGAGAGACAACUUUUACUGCUUACUUACAUGCCAAGAUCUCAAGGGCUUAUAAGACUAUUCGUUUAAGAAAAAGAUCGUCUUUUUAAAAAUAAAUUUGAGGUGCUUUCAUGUAAUAUAUUCUGAACAACAAUUGAAAAUUAAAGAAUGUUUUAGGAAUUUUUGCAUUAAAAAAACUGACUUUGAUAUUUGAGUUUUUUAUUCCGAGGAACAAAUCAAAGGUUGCCAUGGUUCUCAAUAUAGCCAUUCCUUCAAUGGUACCACAAAAGGAAAAGGAAAGGUGAAGAAGAACCAGUGACAACUAGCACUCACUUCCCAACCAGCUAGAAAGGCAACUGAAAAAUAUAAAUUACUCUCAAAUCAAAUAAAUCACUAACAGAAUCUAGUACAGAGUCGAUUAAUAACAAAAAUUACAACACCUACCCUCUUGCGGAUAAAAGGGAAAAAAGAAAAAGUCAAGAAGGAAAAACAACAAAAAAUUCAUUUAAAUCUCCGCUUGGUUUCCCCAUAAGCAACAACCCCAAGAACGGUAAUUGUGUAGCCAGAAAUCCCAACAACGGUCACUGGAUUCUGGAAUAUAAGUAUUGAUAUGACAACAGCCACAGCUCCUUUUGCAUUGCCUAGUACCUGAUCACACCAUAAUUCCAGGGAUUGAGGAUACAUGAAUACGCAGAAUUCAUCUAUUGAAAGCUACAACAAAUAGAACAACAUAAUAGACUAGCCAUAAAUCCCUAUUCUGAAAAUAAGAAAUAAAUAAGAGCAAUGAGAUAAAAAUAAGGAAUCCUAAAUAGAGUUAAGGUUCCAAUUCCAUGGAUAAUGUGGAUAGCAUUGUCUAUAAUCAUAGACAAAUAAAAGAAUCUUAUCCCUCAUUUUGAAAAUGUCUUUGGAUGAAAUGGAAAAUUGAUUUCAUAUCCCAUUAAAGGGAAUUGUUUUACCAAUUCUCGGACCAAAUGUGUCUGUCUUGACAAACAUGCAUACACCUUUGAGAAAUUUGGAAUAGUUCAGGGCCAAAGUAGAUGACAUUUAUGGAGCAAGAGUAUUAAAUCCAGGAUUAGAGAUCCAUUGAGCCAAGUCAAAUAUCAGUCUUUACUUUGAUCCUAAUUGAUAUUAAAGAUUGGCCCGAGCUCAAUCCAAAUCUCCUUUUCAAGCUUUGGUUUGUUCAGCAACAUGACCAGCUCCUACUGAUGCAACCCUUCAUAGAAGUUCCAAAUCACUAUGCACAAAAAUUUUCUUGUAGCAGAGGCUAACCUUCUUGCAUGAACUUAGUCAACUAUUUGUUUUAAACAAUAGUCUAUAUUGACCAAAGAAUCCUGGUGAGUGAGAUCUAAAGAGCAUGAGCUGCUUCUCCCUAUUUGCAGUUUACUCAGGAUCACUUAGGAAAGAAAUGUUCUUAUUGGAGAAAACCUGGUUCUUAGAAUUGUGUGGAACAGUGUAAAAAUUGGUGAGCACAUAUUACUCCACCCUGUACGCUGAGUUCAUGUUAAGAGUAUACAGUUGGGAUUAUAAGCAGUAUUUAGUGUGAAAAACAUUAAAAAACCAAUCCAAUAAACCCACCUGGAAUUUCAUCAAGACAAGGUAAAUGGUAAGAAUGUGUUUGUAAGCCCCAAGGAAAUCAAAUCAUUCAAUGCAAAUUUUCAAAGCAUUUGAAAAUGCUAAAUUCUCUAAACAAGCCAUUACAAAAAAAUGGAGCAGUCAUGACAAAUGGUGGUAUCUAAUAUUCAUGAAAUCGUAAUCAUGGUCAAUUUACAGUUCAGGGAAUGGUUUCAUUUCAACUUUUCACCAUUACUUGUGAUGACAGCCUAUAAUGAUGUCAUUCCAGUUGAUAGACUUGCAGCUUCAUGAAUAUGCAUCAGAAUGCAUACUGUUACUCAAUACUUCAUACUAUCUUACAUAGACUAGAUAAUUAUUACUGUAUUGUUACCUAUACUUCAAAUCAUUUACCCAAGAAAAAGAUUUAUUUAUUUAUUUACUGAGAGAGAGAAUAAAAGCCAAAGAUGCUGAACCUGGAGUGUCAGAGGACUUGUAUGCUUGGUCACCAAGAAGUUGGACAAAUUGGCCGAAUAGGCCAUUGCUGAAUUCACCAAAAGAAGCAUCCACAUGAAUUUAUGCUCCUUCCCAAGUGAAAUGGUGGCAUCUAACACAUUGGGUUCCAUUAUAAGUGCAGCAGGCAAUAAAACUAGAACUGCAAUUGGAGACAUAUACAGCAACAGAUUCAUGGAGUUUAACUUUUCCCUGCAGAGAUGAGAGAAACUUGGAUAAGAUAUGCCAUGUAGGAAGCAGAUUACGCAUCAACAAAAUAUUUUUUGCACUGCAGAGAGUAUGGAAGAGAAGAAAAGAAAUUUGGAAUUUAAAAAAAUCAUCCCAGCUCCAAAUAGUUGUAAAGUUCCAAUUUUUCUUUACAUUUUGUCCACUUAGUUAACCAAAUGGGGCAUAAAGGUAAACAUGCAAACAAAAAGGAUGAAAAGAAUAAAAUAAACACUUGUACUGUACUAUUUAUGAGAAAGGUAUAUCUCUACAAAAAUUACCAACCAUUUCUGAAUAAUGCCUUUUGUUUUCAUAUGUUUGCAACCCCUUGAUAGGACAUUCAUUAGUUGGAUGGUUAAUAAAGAUGGUCCCUUUCCCAGGCCCAGGUGCAUAUCCAAUAAGAAAAAGUAUUCCCAGUUUUAACUCCUCAAUUGCAACUUAUUUGGUUUCAUUUUCCUUCUGUAUAUAUCAAGCAACAGAUUUUGCUUUAAAAAUCCUUGGAGAAAGACCUUAAGGUAUGCAAAAAAAUCUCCAUUCCUCUGCCAGACAAGUGAUCUAAUUUAGACCCUCGUUGUAGAUAUAUUCCUUUUUAGUCAUCACUCCUUCAAACUUCUGAUUACGCAUUCAGAUUUCUGAUUAUGCAGUUCCCAUUUGAAAUCUUGUAAACUCAGGAUCCUUCAGUGAAAAAACUUUAAUUCUGACCUGAUAGAACCUCAAAGUAACUUGAGAAUGUGAAACAUUCAAUAAAGUAGCUACAGAGAAAACAAACAGCACAUUUACAAAGACAAAAAAAAAACAGCAGAAAACUUCUUAUUUAGGUGCCACUCCUGAUUAUGUUCACAUUUGAAACCUUGUAAACUCAAGGUUCUUCAGUGAUAAAACCUAGUUCUGGUCAUACAAAACCUCAAACUAAUAGAAAUAACUACCAUCUCACAACAAUUAUUUUUGAUAGGAAAAUAACUGAAAGAGCAAAGGGUUUACCCUUCAGAGGAAAGUAGGACACCCUGAAGAACAGAUUUGAAUGCCCUUGCAGCAGUUGCACUUAUGCACAUUAUAAAUCCAAACAAGUGGAAACUUGGCUCACCCUAGCACCAACAAAAUAAUCUCAUGCUUAAAAGUCCAUUGAAAACAGGAAGAAGAGUUUUUUAAAAAGAAGAAAAACAUAAAGAGAAACCAUCCUAGUAGCAAUAAGGCACUUAAUCUUCUUUACUCCUCAAUUAACAUUUUCAUUUGUAUAUUUAUUUACUUAUUUUCUGCAGAGGGUAUGACAUAAUAACCCUGCAGCAACCCUGCAGCAGAAACACAGAAAGAUCCAUGAGUUAACAUAUUCCAAAAUUUAAUAUGAUCAAUGGGAAAUUUUCUGUAAGAAUACUCACUAUCAAGUGACUUUCCAGACGCCAAUUGAUAUAAUAAAGCAAACUACAAAUAAAAAUGGUAGCAGCUGCAUGAUUUGUUUAAAUGUGUAUUACAUAGAGUUGGGGGAUACAUGGUGGAUGUCAUUCAUUGAAAAUUAUCCAGCCUAACAAAAAGAACAAUACUGGUGAAACUUCAAGUAAAAUUAUGUGGUAAGAAAUAAUUAAUGACUUGAAGAUGAUCCACUUUGGUUUCUUGCCUCUGCCAUCUGAUAUAGGGACAAAGGUUUCAAACUCAUGGUUGAACGUUAGUCAGCAGAAAACAUGUUUGUUAAGCUAAUCCUCUGAUGCCCUUAUUAAGGGUGUAGCAUUUUGGUCUUUCUUUCCAACUGGAUAUUACAUUUUAUAUCCGGAUGCUCUUUAUUCCACAGCUUGCAUAAAUAUUGAAUCCCGGUAUGUUAUAACCUCCAUCCCAAUAAUAAAUUCCCUAGAAGAUACAGCAAUACAAAACCAUCUUUAGGAUAAAUGCCUCAGUGUUCACUCCAUUAAAGGAUAGAUCUAUUUAUCCUUCCAAUACAAAUGAUUCUACUAAGGGCUUGUUCUAAUCAAAUUUUCCUUCUUGUUUACAGGCAAAGUAAUGUACUAAUAAGCACCUAACAACAAGCGAGGGGUGCAUCCUUAAUACACGAGUUCAUUCUAAUCAAAAUGUUCCAUUAUAUAAGGACAGAGUUUUACCCCAUAAAUUUUUAUCUCAUUAGACAAUUAUAAAUCCUAUCGAACAUACAUACAAAGUAGUUUGUUUUGUUUUGAGACGGUCCCAACAAUGCCCUAUCUACUCUACUGAUGAAAGCAUUUCAAGUUUUCAACCCAAGAUCCACCUAACUAAAAAGAACAUGGCUUGUCCCAUAACUGAGGAUCCUUCACCUCUGCUUCUGAUCCCAUUAACCCUAUAUAAGCUGCCAGAAAAAAACUCCCACAAUUUGUAACAUCCAUGUACCACAUCAAGUCCACGAAUUAUCUGAAAUCAACCCUUGGAAUAGAGUUGCAGAUCAGGAAACUCAUACAUCGACUUGGCAUUGCAUCAAAUAACCUCAAAAUCAAACCAAAACAUAGCAUAACAUGAAAUAGAUAUCGAAUUCCGAAAACAGCCACAAAACCCAACACAUAACAAACACCAACGAAGAUAAUUCACACUUAGAACCAGUCACAGAUCAAAACAAAAUUCACAAUAGAUAAAUAAAUAAAUAAAAUUAACAAAAUUAACUGAUGAUCCCAGAAAUAAAGCAAAUAAAUAAACAUACCCCACUUGCGAUCACGACCCCGGCAACAACUGGUACAAGAGCAACAUAGGUGACCCAAGCCUCCCGCUUAAGGGUCAUCAAAUAAGCAAACACGGCGGUGAAAAACGGCGUGGUUGCACCGACGGCCUGAUUGAAGGAGACAGGGAGAUACCGAAGCGAAAUGUUGCCACCGACAACAGAGGCACAGAAUACAAUGCUGAGAGUGGCAAUCUUGAGGAACUGAGCCCUAGAUUUAAGGGCCUGCAGAGGCGCAAUUUUCAAGAAAACAAUGGAGACGUAACUGAGAAUUGCACAAGCAGACAUGUGGCACAUUGUGAGGAAGAUUGGGAAGCUGAAGCCAUAGUUGGAGAGCAGGAACUUGUUGAGAAGAAUGACCCCAAUGUUGGAUGAGUACCAUAGGAUUAUGAGUGAGCUUAUGAAUAAGGCUUUCCUCCUCGAUGGAGAUGAUGACGAUGAUGAUGCUGACGAAGACAUCUUCUCCUUCCUUUUCCUAGGGUUCUUGAUUCGUCGGUGAAGCUGCAGCUCUUAUCAGAGCUUUAAUGGCAUAUUAUGCUAUUGCUAUUGUUAUGAUUAUUUAUUUAUUUAUUUAAAAUUUUGGUGUACAUCUUAUUUUCUUAUUACAAAUUUAUCAUACAAAAAUAAUUUUUUAACUUUCAGUUAUUUUUUUGUAAAAUUAUAAUUGAAAACAUAGAGAAUAUUUAAAAUUUUUACCAUAUACAUAAAUCAAAAAAAAUUAUUUUUCCUAUUUUAAAUUUCUAAACAAAAUUUCAUUCCUCCAAACAAAUUUUAAUUCUUUUUCAUGGCUUUUUUUUAAAAAAUAUUUUCAAAUAAAUCAUAAAUCACCUCAUUUAUUAAGUUCAAUAAAUUUUAAAAAUAUAUAUUAAAAUAAUUUAUUAACUUUUAAAUCUAUUUGUUAUUAUUUCUUAUAUAUAUUUUCACAAUUUUAAGCCUUAGUUAAGGUUGUUUGAUGCCAAAAAAAAUUAAAUUAUUAUUUAACAUAUUGAGGUUUUUUUUUUCAUAUGAAAGGGCUCCACUUUGUAACCACCCUAUAAAAAGUUUUUAGUGCCCAUUUAGAAAUGUUUUCAAAAUUAUUUUUUUUAUAUUUUAUAAAAUAAAAGUUUAUUUUUUGUUUUUUAAAUAAAUUUAUUUUGAUUGUUUUAUUUUAUUUUUAUUUUUAUUUUAUAUUUAUAUAAUUGUUUUUUUAAAUAAGCCUUAAAAAACAAUCAAAAUAUGUUAUAAAGCUCUAUUCCCAGCCAAAAAAAAAAAUAUCAAACUAAUUUUUUUAUUAAUAUAGUUUUAAAACAGACUCUUUCUUCUACUCAUUGGUAAGAUUAAUUAGAUAUGUAAAUGACUUAAAUUGAAACUUUGAUUCAGUAUCAAAAUGGUGUUUAGUAAAUUAAUUUAAUAAUUCAAUAUAAAUUAAUAACUUAAUUUAAGAAAUUAAAUAUGAUUGAUUAAAUAAUAUAUGGUGUUUGAUAAAAAUUAAUAUUUAAUUAUUUUAACUGACUUUAAUUUAAAUAAUGCUUAAGGUAUCAAUUCAUAUAUAAAUUACACUACUAGGGCAAACACACUCACUAUAUUUAAUAGCUUAAAUGAAGUCAUUAAAAUUUUAAUAUGCUCGGUAAUUAAACAUUCUUUUAAUGUCACGACUUAAAUUUUAAAAAUAACUUCAAUACUUAUCAAACAUAUUCAAUAUUUUCAGUAACUUAAACUAAGCCGUUAAAUCAUGUUAACUUGUGUAUAUAUAUAUAUAUAUAUUAGGAUUAAGGGUGAUGUUUGCGUUUUGUGUUAAAACAAAAUAGACUUUAGUUUAAUUAUAAAUAAUACUCAGUAAGGUUGAGUAUUAGUUUGUUUAUUUUAUUUUAUUUUACUGAUUCAAGUCGUUUUUAAAAUUAUUUAUUUUUUAACUUAACAAUUUUUUAAAAGAUAAUUUUGUAUUAACGAAUAAGGUAAAAAAAAAAAUUACUUUUACUUUAAAUUUUAAAACAACUUUCUCCAAACUUAAAUUAAAAAAAAUAAUAAUAAUAACAACAACAACCCUAAGUCUUAUUUGUUUUUUCUAACCAAACAACCUUGAUUUAUUCUAUUCAACUACCGGCAAGUCAUUAAAUUGAUUUAUCAAAUAUCAUCUAUAAAAUUUGAUAUAAAAUAAUAUUUUAAUAUUCAUAUGUUAAAUGGGAUUGAAGAAGUAAAGUAUAUAGGAAUUUAAAGAUAUGGCAGAAAAUUAUUUUGAAAACAAUUAAAAAUUCUAUCGAUAGUGUAUCAUUUUUCCAAAAAUAAGUUUGAGGUGUUUUUAGAUUAUUUUAAGAAAAAUUAUAAUUAUAAAAGAUAUUUUAAAAGGUCAUAAUUUUAGUCCAAUUUUUUUUAUAUUUUUAUUUUUAAAAUAAAAUGUAAUUUCUAGAAAUAAUUGAAAACAUGUUUUUAAAACACUAUUUUUGAAAAAUAUAAAGUAAUUGGAAAUGUGGAUUAGGGUAAAGUAGUUUUAAAAAAUCACUUGAAAUAUAAAAAAUGACGGUGUCAAGAACCGUUCACAUAGCCUUGUUGUACACGUGUCUUCCAUUAAUCCAAGAAGCUUGGAAAAUCCAUGCUACAAGAUAUCGUUUGUUUUGCCCCUUCUACACCAAGUCACUGACAAGGUGUCACAACCCUGAUAUGAACCUCAAAUUUUUCACCAAGUGUGCGGUGCUAAAAACCCUUUCUUAGCCAACCUUUCCCUUUCUAGCCCUUAUAAAAGCAGUGUAACAAACCAACUCAAUUACAGAAAUGCUUCCCAACUUGUAUUAUUUCAAUCUCUACAUACAUACAAAACUGCUCAACACUUUGUCAGAGUCAAAGAAUAUAAUGCUUAAACCCCUAAACAUUCAAAAUACCAUACAUACUCUGUCUCAGGGAUGUAUGGGGCUUUUAUUAGUUUAUAUGACUCAGUUUGCAGUUUUCUCUUUUAAAUUUCAAAUCAAGGAGUUUGUUGGUGGUUAUGCAACCGCCUAUAACCACAAAGCUAGAGACACCCCUUUGAACUGAGGUGUCCCUUCGCACUGGCUACUAGCUCCUCAGCUAUCUGCCAAUUCCCUGUUGCUAAAUCUUAGUUAUUGCUACCACCUCAUGUGUUGUACUGAUCAACCUGCUACCACUAGCUAACUGUUGUUCCCUCAAACCUUUACUCAUAGAACAGUUGACGAGUCCCCCUAACAAGUUGCCUCCUCCCCGUAAGGUGCCUCUUGUGAACGAGUGCCCAUCAAGAUGUCUUUGACCAAAGCUCUUUGAAUUAGCAACGUGCAUCGACCAAUUGAUCAGGUGUGUCUGGUGCAUCAGUGUGUCUUCCUCACACUGAUAUCUGAGUACCAUGUCAAGGUGCCCAUGGCCUGGGCAUGUGUCAAGUUCCCUCUAGUUAGUCAAGGCUCCAUCAUUGCCUUGUUUUUGUCAUGCACCAUCAAUCUCGAUAACUGCCUCAGAGCUUUUUGUUUAGCCACUGAUUCACAACAUUGAGUCAUGGCAUUGCGCCCAUGGCUUCAUCAACUGGCUCACUGCACAAGUCUUUAGGUGCUCUUGUGCUAGUGCGGGGAGGAAGUAAGCCACGUCAGGCCCCGUGUCGUUACAGCCACGGGGUGCAUGCCACACAUGUCGUGGAGUCCAUGUGUGCGUGCUUGUGUGCCUUUCAUAUGUCUUAGACAUGCCCAAGACCUUGCCAUGGUUCCUCCUUGAUGUGGCCAUGGCUUGGCCUUUGUGCCCUUGAGUCACCUACCCCCCUUAAAAAGCAUUACAAGUCAUUUUCAAAAUGUUUGGAGGAGACAUUAAACCCCCUUGAGGAGACAUAAUGGAAUAUUUAAAUAAAUAAUAAUCAUAUUAUAUAAAAAAACCUUAUCAUUCAUCAACACCAUCUUCAUAGCCCCACAUGUGCAUGAUGUGUGCUAAGUGUGCGCACAGGUGUGGCAUGGUGUGCAUAUGGGCGUGGUCUGCUGCACGCAUGGGCGUGAGACUGCUACGCAUGCGAUACUUGCCUGGUGCAUGGGUGGUGUUUGUCUGGUGCACACGCGGUGCUUGUUGUCAUGCUCAUUUCCUCAUUUUUUGUUUUCUUGGGUUGAACCACCAAACCUCCAGGCCAUCUCUACUCUCUGCCUAGGAUCUGUUAGACAACCACACUGCACACACUGGUUAGUUCAUAAGAAAAUAAAAGAAAACUGGAAAAAAAAAAACAGAGAAUUAAGGAAGAAGAUUAGACCGAGUCUUGUGGAAAACACAAUCUCCUUAAAACAGAUUCGCCUUCUCCAUAGGUGCUUUGAGAAUCGCAAGGUGUCUGUCUCCCAGGAUAAAACGAUCUUCGAAUGGCAGCAACAACACUCUGCAGCCACUCCGGCGAACUGGAAAUUGUUCAACUCUAUCACGGACACGGAAGGAAGGAACUCUUCAACACUCUGACAAUACUCCAAAGUUUUUCAUUUUUUGCUAUUUUUUUGAAAGAAAGUCUACCACUAUUUAUAGACUUCAAGGAGGGAAGAACACAGACAGGUUCAGAAAGCCAAAAUGAAUUUGGCUUCUUGAGACUCUUAUAAUUCUGGAAAAAUGAAUGAAUUUACUUAAUUCAAUGGAUUUACUUAAUUUCAUUCAUCCCCUUUUUCCAACAAUUCCCCACAUGAAAGAAAUUAAGACACGAUGAACUUUGUGAUAGAGUACAACGGUUGAAACCUGCAUAGGAGAGGUAGGUGUUACCCUUUGAACCUUCCCUUGUAGAAAUAUGUUUACUCUACUAGCUAAACAGUAGACACGAUGUCCUUGAACUGUUCUGUCAUUUAUGUAGAUGAUGACAUAUCUCACACAGGAAUCUUCCUAACAUAUUUCAGUUCUCACUUUUAUGUUCAUUUUGGCCAUGAACAUACGCCUGGUUCUAUAAGAGUUUAAUAAGAAUUGUGCCCUAUUCAAUUCCCUUAGAAGCGGCCCCACUUCACUUUUACAUAGGUGAUCUCUUAAUCACGAGUAACCCGCAUUACUCUGUUCGGAUUUCCGAAGCAUAAGGAUCAUUAAAAGCAUAGCUUACCCUUUCCUCUUACGGGCAUCACUAUUUUAUCAUAGGAAUGGACUAGGGAAGAUCCCCACAGUGAUUUAACAAAGUCUUUACAGUUUAGUUGUCCCUUUUGAACCUAGAUCUCGGGAUCUCCAGUCAACUAGGUUGGGUAUCCACUGUAUUAACUUAUUCUUUUAUGGGUUUUAGUCCCAUUCCCCUUGAUGACUUUUCAACUAACUCUUUAUUUAACCUUUUGGUUAGUGGAUCCGCAAUGUUAUCUUUGGAUUUCACAUAGUCCACAGAGAUAACCCCAGUUGAGAGUAGUUGUCUAAUGGUAUUGUGUCUACGACGAAUGUGUCUAGACUUACCAUUAUACAUAUUACUCUGUGCUCUACCAAUUGCAGAUUGACUAUCACAAUGUAUGCAAAUUGGAGGCACAGGCUUUGACCACCUUGGAAUAUCCUCUAGGAAGUGGCGUAACCAUUCAGCCUCUUCCCCACAUUUAUCUAGUGCUAUAAAUUCAGAUUCCAUUGUGGAUCUGGCAAUAACCGUUUGUUUUGAGGAUUUCCACGACACUGCUGCACCUCCUAGUGUAAACACAUAACCACUAUGGGAUUUUGAGUCUUUAACAUUAGAUAUCCAAUUCGCAUCACUAUAUCCUUCAAGUACAGCAGGAUAUCUUGUAUAGUGCAGCCCAUAAUCACGAGUAAACCGUAAGUACUUUAGUACUCUUAUAAUUCCUUGCCAAUGCUUGGCUCCGGGAUUACUCGUAUAUCUACUCAGUUUACUAACCGCAUAGGCUAUGUCUAGUCUUGUACAACUCAUUAAGUACAUUAGACUGCCUAUUACUCUAGAGUAUUCUACUUGAGAAACACUCUCACCUUUAUUCUUGGACAAAUGUAGAGUUACAUCCACCGGUGUUCUAGCAACUCCAGAAUUAUCUUUAUCAAACUUUCCAAGAAUUUUGUCUACAUAAUGUGACUGACUUAAUAUGAGUUCAUUUGAUGUUCUUUUGAUUUUUAUUCCCAAUAUAACAUCAGCAAGUCCCAUGUCUUUCAUGUCAAACCUUGAAUUCAACAUGUUCUUUGUAGAUGUGAUCAUCUUAUCAUCACUACCAACAAUAAGCAUGUCAUCUACAUACAAACAUACAAUGGCAUAUCCAUGUUCUGUAUCCUUGACAUAAACACACUUGUCACAUUCAUUGAUUUUGAAGCCAUGUGACAGCAUAACAUUGUCAAAUUUUUCAUGCCAUUGUUUUGGUGCUUGUUUUAAGCCAUACAAAGAUUUCACCAGUUUACAAACUUUCUUUUCUUGUCUUGGAGCUGAAAAACCCUCAGGUUGCUCCAUAUAGAUUUCUUCAUCUAAAUCUCCAUUUAGAAAGGCUGUUUUUACAUCCAUUUGAUGUAUUUCAAGAUUUCUCAAUGCAGCAAUUGCAAGUACCAUCCUUAUGGAAUUUAUUCUCGUCACAGGAGAAUAUGUGUCAAAAUAAUCUAGGCCUUCAGUUUGUCUGUAGCCUUUGAUUACAAGUCUUGCUUUAUACUUGUCAAUUGAUCCAUCUACUUUCAUCUUUCUCUUGAAAAUCCACUUGGAACUUAAAGGUUUACAACCUGGUGGAAGAUCCACUAGUUCCCAAGUAUGGUUUUGCAAUAUGGAAUCAAUUUCACUCUUAAUGACCUCUUUCCACAUAAGACCUUCUGUAGAGUUCACUGCCUCUUUAAAAGUUUGAGGUUCGCCUUCAAGCAUAAAAGUUAGAAAAUCUGGACCAAAAGACUUUUCUGUCCUUACCCUUUUGCUACGUCUAGGUUCUACCUCAACUUCUUCAUUUUGAUCCUGACUCUCAAGCAUUCUUUUUUAUGAACUUGGCUCUUCUUUGGAUUUACAUGGAAAUACAUCUUCAAAGAAUGAUGCAUUCCUUUAUUCCAUUAUCGCGUUCUUAUGAAUAUCUGGGAUAUUUGAUUCAUAAACAAAAAACCGAUAAGCAUUACUAUUAUGUGCAUAGCCAAUGAAAAUGAAAUCAAUAGUCUUAUGUCCUAUUUUCACCUUUUUAGGUGGAGGAACUGCCACUUUAGCAAGACAUCCCUACAUUCGUAAGUAUGUGUAGGAUGACUUUCUUCCUUUCCAUAACUCAUAUGGAGUCUUUUCUGCUUUCUUUUUGGGUACCUUAUUCAAAAGGUAAUUAGCAGUUAAAAUGACUUCUCCCCACAUGUUUUGUGGCAAACUAGAACUUAUUAACAUUGCAUUCAUCAUUUCCUUUAAGGUACGAUUCUUUCGCUCAGCCACUCCAUUGGAUUAAGGCGAAUAAGGUGUUGUUGUUUCGUGUAUAAUCCCAUGUUGAGCACAAAUGUCAACAAAUGGCGAUUCAUACUCACCACCUCGAUCGCUUCUUAGUACCUUAAUUUUCUUGUUGAGUUGAUUCUCAACUUCGUUUUUAUAGAGAACAAAUUUCUCUAUAGCUUCAUCCUUGCUUUUUAGUAAAUACACAUAACAGUAUUUGGUGCUAUCGUCAACAAAAGUAAUAAAAUAUUUAUUACCACUUAUUGUUUGUACAAAUUUCAAAUCACAGGUAUCACUAUGAAUCAAAUCAAGAGGUUCAGUGUUUCUUUCAACACUUUGAAAAGAUGACCUUGUUAGUUUUGCCUCAACACAAGUUUCACAUUUAUGGUUGGAAUUAAUUUGGAAUGUUGGUAUAUGAUUUAAGUUAAUUAAUCUACGUAAUGUAUCAUAAUUAACAUGUCCUAAUCUACCAUGCCAUAGAUUAGAAGACUCAAGCAUGUAAGUAGAAGUACUAGCUUUAUUCAUAUUUGACUUAAUAAUAGUCAUUACAUUGAGUUUCCACAUUCCAUCACUCAUAUAGCAUUUCCCAACAUACAUUCCACUCUUGGACAAAACAAAUUUGUUUGACUCAAAGACCAACCGAAAUCCAUGAUUAUUCAGCAAUGAACCAGACACCAAGUUCUUGCGAAUUUCCAGCACAUAUAAAACAUUGGUCAGAGUCAACUCUUUCCCAGAAGUCAUCUUCAAGAUUACUUUACCUUGACCCUUGAUCUCAGAGGUGGCAGAGUUCCCCAUGAACACUUUUUCCCCAUUCUCAAUUGGUUCAAAAGUGGAGAACAUUUUCUUAUCAGAGCAUACAUGGCGAGUAGCACCAGUAUCAAUCCACCAUUCCUUUGGGUUAGAACCCACCAAGUUCACCUUAGAGACUACUGCUGUGAGGUCAAUGUCAGGAACAUUUUUAGUGAUGUCGUCAAUCACAUUAGCUUCCUUAGGUUUAUUCUUUUUGGGCAGUCUACAAUCAACAGACUUGUGACCUUGCUUACCACAAUUGAAGCAUUUCCCUUGAAAUUUCGGCUUUUUUGAGAUCCCUCCUUUAGGUCCCAACUUAGAUCCUUUCCCUUUGUUGUUGUUCUUCUUUGCCUUGGAACUUUGACCAUGUUCCACAAAGUUAGCCUUGGCCUCAUUUAGAGUGUGCGCCCCUUUCUUUUCAGAUCUUCUAUUAUCUUCUUCAAUGCGAAGUCUAAUAAUUAGAUCCUCGAUGCUCAUUUCCUUUCUUUUGUGCUUGAGGUAAUUCUUAAAAUCUUUCCAAGCAGGGGGUAGUUUCUCAAUAAUAGCUGCUACUUGGAAAGUUUCACUCAACAUCAUUCCCUCAGCAUGUAUCUCAUGCAAGAUUACUUGAAGUUCUUGGACUUGACUUACCACAGUCUUGGAAUCUACCAUCUUAUAGUCGAGGAAGCGACCCACAACAAAUUUCUUAGUCCCGGCAUCCUCAGUUUUAUAUUUCCGGUCUAGAGAUUCCCAUAGCUCCUUAGCUGUUUUCUUGUCAGAAUAAACAUUGUACAACGAAUCAGCUAAACCAUUCAUGACAUAAUUUCUACACAAGAAGUCAGAAUGUUUCCAAGCAUCUAUAGCACUGAUGACUUGGAUAUCGUGCUCGUCUUCUUUGAGCUUAGGAGCAUCCUCAGUCAAGAAUCUUGCAAGAUUCAACGUGGUCAAAUAGAAUAACAUCUUUUGUUGCCACCUUUUAAAAUUUAGUCCACUGAACUUCUCUGGUUUUUCUCCUGGUGAGACAGAGAUUGGUACAGCAGUAGGCAUCGCUGGCACUUGGGCCACAGUAGGGGUUGCCACUGGGGCUAAUUCAGUUACAACAACGUUAUCGGAUUCAGUUGUCAUUUUUUCUGAAACAUCCAAGAAAAUGUGUCAAUUUCUUUUUUUCUUUUUUCUUUUUUUCUUUUUUUUUCCAAAAAAAAAAAACUGAAAAUCACUUUACAGAGUAUUCCCAGGAAAGACUAGUGGAGUAUAAUGACCUAGACCAGGACUAGCUUCCUUAGACAGAAUAUUCAGUUCCUAGGAAAUUGGAGGGGUCACAAAUGGUCCCGCUUAAAUUCCAAUUACCUUAGACAGAACUUCUUUGUAUCAUAAUUUCCAAAUUUUCAAAAGACUUGGUACAAACUUUAUAAGAAGGUAUUUUUCCCAUAAAAAAAAAAAAACAUGAGUCACAGUCCAAUGGUGUCUUACUGAGUUGAGCAUGAGAAAAAGGGCUCAGGUUAAGAGUUCGAAACUUCUUUUUGUAACAAAUGGUUGUUUUUUUUUUUUUCUUCUAAAAAAAAACACAAAUUUGAAUUUUUUUUUUUUUUUCUUUCUCACUGGUUUUUUCUUUUUCCUUCUUCUUCUUCUUGAUAACUUGUUUCCUUUUCACCAACCACUGGUUUUCCUUUGAAAAAGUCUGUUUUAAGAAUGUUAGACAACCACAUUGCACACACUGGUUAGUUCAUAAGAAAAUAAAAGAAAAUUGGAAAGAAAAAAAAAACAGAGAAUUAAGGAAGAAGAUUAGACCGAGUCUUGUGGAAAACACAAUCUCCUUAAAACAGAUUCGCCUUCUCCACAGGUGCUUUGAGAAUCGCAAGGCAUCUGUCUCCCAGGAUAAAACGAUCUUCGAAUGGCAGCAACAAUACUCUGCAGCCACUCCGGCGAACUGGAAAUUGUUCAACUCUAUCACGGACACGGAAGGAAGGAACUCUUCAACACUCUGACAAUACUCCAAAGUUUUUCAUUUUUUGCUAUUUUUUUGAAAGAAAGUCUACCACUAUUUAUAGACUUCAAGGAGGGAAAAACAUAGACAGAUUCAGAAAGCCAAAAUGAAUUUGGCUUCUUGAGACUCUUAGAAUUCUGGAAAAAUGAAUGAAUUUACUUAAUUCAAUGGAUUUACUUAAUUUCAUUCAUCCCAUUUUUCCAACAGGAUCCCCAUAGGUUCAAGGCCUUCCCAUGAGGCCCUUUCCUCCAUCAUUGGGUCAAGAGGUUAAGGGGUUAAUAAUUAGCUCCUGGGCGGUUGAGGAAGAAUAAUCCAUUCAUUUGAGUAUUUCUCCCGCGGACAAUGAAUUGUAUUUACUAUUUAUUCAUAUUUCCAAAAUAAAAAUAAAAAUAAGAAACAAAAGUCCACCAAACUUAUUAAAUUAUAAUUUUAUAAUUGAAUAAUAAUGAAAUACAAGCAUUCACACUCAUUAUCGGUUAUAAUAAUAACUUUUAUUUUAGUAAAAUUUAAACUCCUAACACUAUUAACAUAAACAAGACUUCUUAAAAGGUAAAUAGUAAAUUACCAUACAAGCCCCAAUUGUUGAUUAUUCCUUUUAAAACUAAAUUAAAUCAUUAUAUAUAGAUAUAUUCUUUCUAAUGGGUAAGGGGUGGGUCGUUUAAUCAUAGAAAGAAAAAAUAAAUAAUUACUAGACCCUCCAAGCUACCUCUUUUUUUUUUUUUUUUUUGUGGGUGUGGGGGGGUGAUUAACUGUUACCAGGGAACAACAUUAUUAAUUGGUUCCAUAUUUAAGGGUGACCAAUUAAUUAAGCAAGUGAGGAGUCCGAGUAGGUGAAAUGAUGCUUUGAUUACAAAUAACACAAAUUUCUCAUUCUUGGUGUGCAUGUUGAUGUACAAAAGCUUCCUUGUCAUAACUCAUAAUUUCCACCAAUUUUGCAGAGGAAAUUUAUAAAUUGGGUAAGACUUAAAUUCAAUUCAUUAGUUCUUGCCCCCAGCUGCAUUUGC
rnacentral:lncRNA from 1 species